AGGCGAGAAGGGACUUUGAAAGUGCAAGAAACGUAGCCAGCUUCGACUCGGUCGACUCGGAUACCGCGAAGGGCGUAAUACUCGUAGAAGCUAGAAUCGAGAUGGGGUCGGUGAGGAGGGAAGGUGAGUUGGGAUACGCGGUCGGACUCUUCCUUGGCUAGCUGAAGAGAUUCCCUGGCGUUCUCCAUUUUGGGUCCUAUCUGAGCUCUGGCAGGAGUAUGGCAUACGAGUCCAUGAUUGUCUUCAAUAUAACGCAAUCACCCGAUUUGCUAGUCAAGGCCGUCCGAAGGCGCCGUUUGGAUUGAGGAAAAUAAAACGAAAUGAAGGGAAUGGGCAUCAGUGGGAAAAAAAAAAGGGUACAGGAAAGCCGUUUCUGGCUAAUAAAUGAAAGAAAUUGUAAAGUUUUUGCUUAGAUUAAGGAAGAAACGAAAAGAAAGAAAAACAUCAACUGUUACCGAACACAAAACUAUAUCCCAACAAAAUAAUUAGACUAUUUCCCUCCUCAGAAAUCAACAUAAAUUAAAAAAAAGAAAAGAAAAAACUAAUCCCCUCCAAUUCCUUUCGUUUUCUUUCCCUCCCAUUACCUCAAUCGAGAUUAUGCCAAAGUUUACAAGGUUUCUAGAAUUAUAAAAAACGAUGUUAUAAAAACAGAUUGACGGAUUGCAUCCUUCACGUGGUGUAUUGCUAAUUAAUCAUUUAAUAGUGAUUAGUCGUUGACAGACUAUUGAUAUUAGUAAUGUAUAUUGAACAUCUAAAAUUUUCCCUCUUAUUCAAUAUUUUUAUUUAUUAUUGGAUUAACUUUUUAUGUACUGACGGUUUAGUAAAAUUUUUUUUACACCAACGAAUAUGAAUGUAUAUCAUAUGUGCAUUAUUUGAAUUUUAAAAUUGAAUUCAUUAGCAUUUGACAUGUUUAAACCUACUAGUGUAAAAAAAAAAUUGUACACCGAUAAUAUACGAAAAACUUUUACUCUUUUAUAUUUUUCCGAUUUGUUGGUUUUUCGACAUUAGUUGACCCUAUCAUUGGACAACACAGUUUCUACGUUGUCUCUCCCACUCUUCUCUUUUCAUCCCCAAAUAUCUUAUCCAUUUUUUUCCCAUUCAACCGCUUAGCCAAGUAAUUAAAAGUGCCAAUUUUCUAUGGGUCUGUCAAACAAGGGAGUAGGCAUUGGUUAAGAGAGAAUUUAUUUGUUGAUAUUUUAAUGUAACAUAAUAAUUAUUAGUAUGUGUAUUUAUAUAUGAUAAAUUAAAUAUAAUUUAAGUGUACUAACAAAUGCUACAUUAGAAAAAUCCGUCUUUUAUUUCUUUCCCUCUCUAGUGUUGUUAAGGUUGGUGUAAAUAAUAUAAUGGAUGGGAUGAAUAUCUGUGGUUUUUUUCCUAAGAAAAAAGCCAAUAUUAUUGGCAUCAAUAUUCCCCCUCCAACUCUUGACCGGUUUUAAAGUAGUACUACUUCUUUACCCAUAAAUUCUAGCUAAAGCUAUCUUCCCACAUUUCGUUGAUGUGGACCAAAGGUUAAGUUGUCCUUAAUAUCAAAUAUUAAUUAAAAGGAUUAAAAGAGGGAAGGUAGAGACAGGUGAGUUGUUGGGUGGUAUGCUGAGAACAUUAAUUACUCGUUGCGAAAUGUUAGCCAAGCAAUAAAUCAAGGAGAAGUUUCUGUUUCCCAAAAAGAAAAGGAAAACAUUAGUAAGACUAAACAGAGAUGAAUGUUAUUUGCACUCUAUUUUUUGUUAUUUGCAUUCUCAUAAUUUGUUUUAUAAUAUAGUUUAAUAAAUGAAAACUAUAUGAUAAAAAUAAUAGUGUAAAUGUGAUUAUCAAAAAUAAAUCAAGGGAAUUGAUGUUUCGAACUCCCUAUUUAGUUUCUUGCACUCCAAAUCACUCACUAAAAAUAGUCUUUAAAGAGUGCUAGAGGCUAAUUAAGAAGUGCAAAUAUUACUUUUCUAAAUCAAAGGUAUGUACUAUUUAAAAUGUAGUUUAGGUGUUAAAAUUUUGAAAAAAUAAAAUUAAUUAGAAUUAUGCACAAAAUGCAAGAGAGGAUGAUGAUUAUCGAUGCUUAUUCGCAUAAUUUGUUAAGUGUGAUUUAAAUGUAUUACUCCCUCCGUCCCACUUUGAUAGUCCUGUGUUCCUUUUUCAUCUGUUCUAAAUUGUAGUCAACUUUCCAAUUGAAGAAUGUAGUUGUAUUUUAAUUUUCCUAAAAUACCCUUAUUCAAUGUAAGUUGUCGUUACUAUAAACCUACCACAUUUAAUGAGAGUUGACUCUUUUUUACCAUCAAUUCAAGUUCUCAUAAAAUUGUACUCUAUUUAAUGUGAUGAUAUUUUAGGAAAAUAGCAAUCUAAAUUUACUUUUCCAACAAAGUUAACUACUUUUUCUUAAAUUGUGUGAAAAAAGAAACAAGACUAUUAAAGUGGGACGGAGAGAGUAAUUAGUAUUCAAUAAACACUCAUUAGAAAAAUCUAUAAAAUCAAUACUUAAAAAAAAAAAAAAAAAAAUCAGUGUGCAAAUCCCAAGCCCCAAAGGCAGCACAAGGGAACCCCGGAUUGAGUGAGUGAGGGUUUAUCGAAGGAAAGGCCCAGCGUCUGUCUGUUCACACUUAGUCAUCCAUUCGUCUUCGGAUACCUUGUCUUGCAACUCUGCCAUUUCGUUUUCUGCACUGUUACUUAUCACAGUACCACUACUGUCACCACACCUCUUAAUCUUGUUUUCUUCCAUACUUCUUCACACCAUUUCCGCCCCUGUUUGCAGCUCCACCUUCUAAAAAAUGAACCCAUUUCGGAUCACCCAUUUCCAAAUCCAAUGACUCGUAAUAAACCCGAAUUUCAAGCCCAUCCACCUCGUACCCGCCGCCUUUCCUCAUGUCACCUCCACCCGGCUGAUCCGGCCACCGGCAUUUGCGCUUCUUGCUUACGCGAGCGCCUCUGCGGCCUCGACUCUUCCGCUGACCUCCUCGAACCCUCUUUUUCUGCUGCAGUCAUCCCGUCUCUCGGCAAUGGCGACCUCGCCGGAGCUGGACCAGUUAAUUGCCUGAACAAAGCUGCAGCCGCCACGUCGUCUCCGGAGUUGCGCCGUUGUAGGUCUGUUUUUACUGCUAAAUGCGAAAGCUUCCACCAGCUUCGCCGAGCCCAGGCGCAGGUCCUGCGACGUUAGGGCUCGAAACGUGAAAAGUCUGGCCCAUCUGUUUGAUGUGGACGAUGAAUGUAGUAAUGGAUCUAACAGGGAGUCCAAGGUUGAAUCCAAGAAUAUUACCACGGCUGCUGCUGCUGAGUUCGGAGAAGAAAUUAAAGUAGAAAAUGCAGGAGGAAACAGGGAUCCCAUGUUGCAUUCAAUGGGGACGAGGAGGAGGAGAAGGAGGAUGAUUUGGAAGAAGGAGAGGUCAAGACGAUGAAAGAACACAUAGAUCUAGAACUGCAGAGCAAGGGCCAGAGGUCGAAAGAUUUUAAGGAAUUAGCUGGAAAUAUAAGGGAGGCAGCUUCUGUUUUCAGCAAGAAAUUGCAAAAAUGGAAGCAGAAGCAGAAGAAAAAGGUUCUUUAUAGCAAUGAUGGAGGCACUGUUGAUGGGAUUAAUUGUGAAGUAAAUGGUCCAAAAGGGAAGAAAUUGGAGGAAACUCAGUCUGUGGCUGCGGAUUAUGCAAUGGGCAGGAGAUCUUGUGAUACAGAGCCUAGGUUUUCUGUUGAUGCUGGGAGAUUGUCUGUGGAGGGCGGGCGCUUUCGAUUGAUGAGCCGAGAGCUUCUUGGGAUGGGUAUUUGAUCGCUAGGACUAUUCCCAGGCUUGCUCCGAUGUUGUCAGUUGUGGACAAUGCGAUUUUAAGUGGCGGAAAUAGGAUUGAUCAUCAUAGAGCAUCUGUUGACGGGCAAAUGCAUUCGAUAAUGGAAGAUGAGACCAGUUCUGGAGGGUCAGCUCAGUCUAAUUCGGAUUCCUCGUCUUCUCAAAGGCGAAGUAGUUUUGAUAGGUCAAGCUCUGUUAGGAGUUUUGGGAAGAAGAUGGCGGUAUUGGAUGGGGAUUAUGCGAAGGCCUCUCCUGGAAGGCUGGUAAUUACGGAGAGGGAAUUGAAAGAUUGGCAUUUGAAUUCGAUCAAAGAUGAUCACAAGAAGAAAUUUGAAUCUUCUUCCAGGGAGAACUCUCCUGCUCUUGAAGAUAGAAGUAAUUUGGGUCAAGAAGCCUGUUAGGUGGCGAAGGGUGUUGAACGUGUUUGGUUUCAAGCAAAAGUCCUGUGAAAACAAGUUUGAAAAACCAAUGGGGAUUGUUCACCUGCUCAGGCUUGUGAGAAGCAAGAAAAGGAGGCUGGUGAAGAAAUCAAAGCUGCCACUCAUUGGAAGCUUAUGAGGAGCAGUAGCAUUGUUGGUGCAAGACGUUCUUGUGAGGUGAUCAGGUCAAGUAAUGGUAUGAUGAGUCUUGGUGAUGAUUCUGACUGGGCCAACAGGAGCCGGGAAGAAUUUGUGCUGGGACGAAAUCACAGAGCUACAUAUGCUUCAAGCAAUUUGGAUGAUGGUGUUUUACCAUUUUAUUUGACACCCUUGAGGACUCCAGGAACGGGAAAUCGAGAAGGGACAAGCUGCAAGACUCACAUUUUGUUGAUGGGAGUCUUUUACGGCUCAACUGAAUAUUAAAAUUUCUGAGUGCGCAUUGAGUUAAUACUAUGACUUUGUAAGGAUUACUAGUUGUUUCUCUUCUUGUUUAUGGGUGAUAGCAAGGCAGGACCAGCAUGUUGUAACUCUACUGUUUUUAGGCAGUAUCCAUGACAUAAUAAUACGAGUUACAGCAUUUUUGUGUCUUGGUUUUCCACAUGUUUGUUCCUUUUCAUUGUUGGGCUCUUAUUAUGCCUAAGAAAUAGUGAAAGUUACCAGCAGCAAUAUGUGCUUUGAUGACAUUUGUUAUUGUGUAAGAAUUACUCGGUACUAUAGAUAUCUAAAGUGCUCUUAUCAGCAGCCUCCGAUCCCCAAUUAUGGUGGCGCAAAUUUCCGGAGAAGUGCAGGUUCAGUGGCUUAUUCAGCCCCCUACUAUAUUGCAUCCCCCAUACUAAUGAAAAUUUUGCUUUCGAGGACAAAUUACAAUAGGCAUUUAUACAGAUGGAUUAAAAAAAUGUAGAUCUAGUGGAGGCGCGAGACUCGACUCAAAUAAAGAUUCGCAAUUUGCGCUUCUUGGCACCGGUUCUAAUGAAAAUCCAACUUGUUCUCCCCCAUACUAAUGAAUGAGAGUCAGAUAUAGCUUUCGAAAUUAAGCCUUUAAAAUGGCACAAUCGCCUUUCAGCUGAGACAUCAAAACGCACAACAACAAACAAGUUGAUAGAUAUGAAUGAACUUUACAUGCCUUCAAGAAAACUGAGUUUGGAAAACCUAGUCCUGCUUCAGCUAUUAUACUAUCUACAAACAAAGGAUGAACUCCACACACAAGGGCAUGGGGUGUCAUAAGAUCAGAAAGUUGCUUAUUGCAGCAUCAUCUUCGACCCAUCAGGUAUUUGGUCUUCACAUAUUUGGAAAUACUUGAGGUAACAUGAUUGGCCUGGAGCCGCUUCUAGAUCCCUUGGCAGGAGGAGUCUCUUCCGAUUCAUCAUCUGUGUCAAUCCUUGAAGAGCCCAACCUGGUUUGUUUAGCUAUUCGCCGUAGAAUAUGUACAUUUAAGUGUAAUUUACUAUUGUCUCUCUGCUUUGACAAGGUAAGUACUCAAGGGCGGAAUUGAUUAAACUCUGACCAAAAGAUUUGGCAUGUAUUCUCACAACAUCCUUGAACUUCUUCUGUUCUUCCAAAGUCCAUAACUUGGAAACAUCUUCUCCCAUGCUUCAAAUUUCCAUUGCCAAAAGGCAGGCCCCAGAUCAGAUUGCAGCUGGAUUUUCUUAGCAUUGAUGUGCUGUCUAACGCAUUCAACAGAUCCAGGGGAUACACAUGAACAAGACUUGGGUCUUCCUUUUCCGAUCACAUCUCCAGAGACUUCCAGGCUUCUGCCUUUAGUUGGCCAUACCUUGAUGCUUAACCACUUUGAACUGCGAGAUUUCCUGUGCAUGUUGUGCUGACCAUUCUUGUGUAGGGAAACAGGCAAAGCUGGCAGAUCAGCCUGAAAACGAGGUCCGACUGGAAUUGCGAGUCUGAGACUAUCAUCACAUAUGUACUCUAUCCAACCUUUAGGAACUGGAUCGUUCUCCUUCUGGAUAUGGAGUUCCUUUGAGGGCUUCAUUUCUUCGUCCUUCUGAAGACAAUCAACAAUGAGAAAAAUGCUCCAAAGGGACUGGCAAUCUCAAGUACUUUGUAGGUGUAGGUACACAAGCAAAUAGAUGCAAGAUGCUUGAUACUGCUAAGCACGUUCGUUAGUCUAGAUAAAAUAGGACAAUGCACAAGAUGACUCCAACGAAUUGCUAAUUUGAACUAUAGAAUUCAUGAAAAGAAUUGUGCAAGACUCAGUGCAUUCAUGCAAUAAAAGACACAUCAAGCACCAUCACCUGUCAUUAUUUUUAACCAGUAAAGCAAGGGGAAGGAACCUGUUCAAGAUGGAGAAGAUGAUAUUAGCAAGCGAAUAGCUUCUUCGGAUUGCACGAUUCCACUCUCCCAAUACUGUGUGCUGGGGAGGCUGUAAUGCUAUUGAUUAAAAUUGAUUUUAUGUCAUCGUAGGCCGCUAAAUUGUACAGAAAAGAAAUACUACUAUCAGUUAGCAAAUACUACAUGCAGACAACAGUUUUCAAAAGCACCUCAAAGACACAGAGCUAGCGAUUCAGCAAAAUAGCUUUGCCUUCCACCAAAAGAAGGCGUUGCUUUGCAUAAGCAAUUGAUUUUGGUGACGACAAUUCAUUGCUUCUCCUCCGAAAAAAAAAAGGAGAGAAAAUAGUUCAUUUAUCUUACAACACAAAAUUUCAAGAAGCCCACCAAGCUUGUACUCUGUUUAUGGAUUCCAGCCAAUAAACGGAGGCCAACAAGAUUCUAGCAUGAGAUUGAAAUUAUCUGUUACAAGAAUAUGCGGGGAAAUAAAUAAAAUCAAAUGAAAUAAAAAAAAACCUCCAUUUUGCUGGUAAUUGCCGUUUACGUUUAGAUGGUCGGAGCAAUCUUCAUUGAAAACAAGAGAAGCAAAAAUUUUGCUGAAUCGCUUAAGCUUCAAUCUACCCAUGCAUGAAUUGAAUAACACAUUUCUAGUGUUGCGAAUUCUACACAACUUGAAUUGAAUUCGAGUUAUCCAUUUACCGGUGCACCGGGAAUUAAUAUUCAAGAAAAUUUCUGAUAUAUGAAAUUAAACCCUAACCCUGGAUAUCGGCUAAACAGAGCGUCCGAACCGAUAUUAGAGGAAUUUAGGAUUCAAGAAGGAAUUGUAUUGUUUCAAUGAUUUUUUUUUGGGCUGUCAGACUGCAUAUUUUUUUCAUUUUGUUUUAAACGGAUAAAUAGUAUUUAGCAAAUUUCUUUAUUCUUAGACCAGAAAUAUCCGCAAAUAUUUCAGCUAAAAUCUCUAAAGAAUAUCCAAGGAAGAAAAUUACCAACAAAAAAAUGGUUACUAGGAUUAACUAAUUUUGAGUCAUAGAAAUUAAUUUUUUAAUUUAUAUCCAAAAAAAUUGGGAAUUUUUAUUUGUAAAACUUAAAUUCUUUUGGGAGAGGGAAAUGGAAUGCAAAUUAUGGUAAAAUGAUUGAAAGUAUAUAAAAUACCUAAAAAAAACCAAUAGAUAAGCCUCUUCUAAUGCUUUGAUCUUCUUCGACAAUUUUUAGUAAGAAACAAUUGCCUGUCUUAUGCCUCUGAUUCUUGCUAUUAAAGAUGAUACAACAACAAAUAAAUGAAGACAACUAUAAUGUGAAGGAAAAGGUGACAAAUAGCUUUUGGAGAAAAGGAAAUUGACUAGUAUAGUACUUUUCCAAAGAGUCCCUAUAAAGAAUGGAGUUUGGGAACACACACCUAUAUUGUUAUGGAGAGGUUGAACACUUAAAGAUGCAUGUUGCUCUUCUCAAGCAUAGCCCUUGCAAUAUAACAAAUGAGAGUUGUGGGAAGCUAGUUGACACAAUAUAUAGGUGGCAAGUGAGGACUUGCAUCAUCCCUCAAAGCCAAUCAACUCAAUUCUCAGGCUUUAAUAGUUCAUUUGAAUUACUAAAUGAGAUGGUAGCCCAUUAAAGAAGGGCCUUUAGAUUUACAUAGAUCCGAUCUAGAGACCUACUUAUAGACCGUGUAAUUUAGAGAAAUUCACCUAUAAGAAGUGAUUUAAAAUCACGAUAUUUUAAAUAAUAGAUGCAAAUAUAAAAUUUCUAAAAUCAAGAAGAUGAGCUAUCUUUAGUUUAUGACUGUCGCUUAAAUAGGACUUUCCAAUCGAAUAGCAUAUGGUCACAUGAUGUAUGACAAUGUAAGAAAAGUGAUAGUAAAUAUUAAAGUCUGUCUAAUGGGUGCUUAUAUCACUAAUAUUAUUUUGAAAAUUACAUACAUUAUACAAAUCAAAAUUGUCAUUGGAUAUAGGAUUUUAAAAUCUAUAAAUAAGAUAUCGAUGUAUAUCCCUAAAAUUUUAGGUAAGAGAGAAAAUAAUAGUAGGUUUUGGAGGUUAAGCAAGUAAUAUAAUACAAAAAUCCAAUUGAUUUUUUUUUAUUAUAAAAAGCAGACUUCAUUAACAAAUUAUUGAAAAUCGUCCAGCGUGAUUUGAUCUAUAUCUCUACCCUAAUGGUAGGUUAAACAUAAAAAUUACAAAUCUGCAUUUUAACAAAUGCAAUAGAUCCAAAAAAAUUAUGAACAAAUCUAAAAAAUAAAAGAAAUUUCAAAAUUGUCUCUAACAGAUAAAUCACUGUAGCUCCCUACUAUUAUUCCAAUCACUGGUUUAUUAAUCAAUGAUUUUAAACUCUAAUAAUAUGAUGCGAUCUGUCGAAUUAGAUCCAAAAUUCCAAAAAUAUUUCAGAUUUGACGACCAAAUCUGAAGUAAAUUAAGAUCUAAAAAUAAAAAAAAAGAAAAACACAAAAAUCUCCAUAGUAAUCUAUAGGAGAAUAGAAAAUUCUCACUUAGAAUUUCUAGGAGAAAUAGAAAAGCUUCAUUAAAAAAAAUUCAGGAAAGAGUUUAUUAGAAAAACAAAACAAAACAAAAUGAAAUUCAUGGGAAGGAGACCAUCACGUGAUCUCCCUCCCUAAGGGAAUGUGUUUAAGAGAGGAGGGGAAAUUGGGAAAAGUUGAAGAAGAGGAGAGGUAGAAAGAAAAGGGUUGAUUUCUGAUAAGAUAAACAGGUUUGCAAAAAUCCAAUUGAUGGUUGAGGAUUGUAUAUAAAAUUUCCAAACUAAGAAGAUGGGGGAAGGUUAAGUUGGGUGGUAAAACGGAAAAGAUUGUAAAUAUAAGGUUCUAAAUUUUCCAACAAGAAUUAUUACCAAACAAGAUGCCACUGCUCUUUAAUUUAUCAUUACAUUUCUACUCAGAAGAUUUAUUAGUUAAUGAAAUCAGCAGGCAGCGAAACAAGCAUUAGACACCUUAAGCGAAAUAAAAAAACCGGACACUCAGGUUCUUAUUCCACAUAACAAGUGUAACACACGUUCAUUGUCAAAAACUAACCCAUUGUACUUUUUAUGAUAUGAUGUAUGUGAAAUAAAAAGAUAAUUGAAAAUUGUGUUAAUGAUACAAGUAGGAUAAUAUUUGCAAAUUUUUUUCCAAAUUAUAUUGUCCAAACAAGACUAUCACAUUUAAGCUCCUUUAGAUGUCAGCAAAUGCCUAAGACAGGUAUAUCCGCUCAAUUUCUUUGAGAACUAUGCCCAAGUUUCAAUUGCUUUUCCGUAUCAAAUCUCCAACUACUGUAUAAUUUGAGCAUACUUUGCAAGGGACUAUAUUCUAGGCUCUCCCUUGUAAACAUUUCUACACAUAUUUGACCUGUUACCACUAAGAACGUUCAACUUAACAUGGAGCUGAGCAAUCUGUCCAAAAUAAUUCCACAUUUCUUCUAUGUUUCUCUAUUACAAUUAAAUUUUUAUGUUGAUUGAGAGAUCUCAGAAUCAUACUAUGCUGAGAAAAGUUGUUAACCUUCUUGAUGCAUAAACUAAAGCAGAUAUCUGCUCUAAAAUGAAAUUAUGUAAGAUAUACUGCAAAAGGAUUAAGUAUACAUACUUAUAAGCUUCAUCGACUCUUGCCUGAGCAUCUAUGUAGCUUGGAAAAUCAUAACCAACCAGGAAAUAAUCACCACGACCAUAACCUGAGUUUCCCUCCAAUGACUCGAGGAGUGGGUUGUAAUCAUAGCUUCCAAAUGCUCCAGACCUAAUAAAUUGUUUUGCUUCUUCAAAGCGAGGAUCUGGUUUGAACUGCACAGCAGAUAAAUAUUAAACUAAAAGUUGGUUUCUUCUCGAUAUAUUCUUAACAUGAUCUUAAGGAACCAAAUUAGACGUACCAUGACAUGAUGCUACUAUAGUAUCGUGUCUAAAGAUUCAGAACCAAAGUGAGUUACAUUCAGAGGUAAGCACUGAACGGUAGGAGAAUAUAAUGGAAGAGAUGAUCUUGGAAACCAAUUUUGAAUUGACCAGGAAAAACAGACACUCAGGCAGGACAUGUAUUUCAUGUGCUAGGAUUUUUUUUUUUUUUUUACCAAGAAAAGAAUGAAAAGAUACUUUGUUCUUGAUAGUCAUUAAAUAAUCAGGCUUGGACCCUGUACGUUCAUAUUAGCUGUUCAGACCCUGUGGCCAAUGAAAUGGUCAAGACCUCAUCAUCUUUGUUUCUUUUAUUUUUAUUUUUAUUUUUUCUUGGACCAUUAAUUGCAAAGAGAAACAUUAAGAAUGACAAAAAUUAGCCCAGUGCUUUUCACAACAUAAUGCAAAGAGUUCUUCAUUCUUUAGGACAAAGAUAUUUAGUAAGUUACCAAGCCAUGCAUCAUCAUAUUUACAGACAGAAUAAAGCUUCCCAAUGCACAGAGAGAGAGAGAGAGAGAAUUUUUUAUCCUCAACCGAGGACCUAACAGUACCUGGAAACUGUAAAGCAUUAAUCUGGCUACAAAUAAGGAAGAAUUAGAUACCAGACAGGAAAUUGCUGCAUCAUACCAGUCCAUUCUCUCUUUCUUUGCGCAACCGAGGGACUUCUUCUGCUCUUGCACCAAAAAGGAAAAAAUUCUCUUCACCAAUUUCCUCUCUGAUUUCCACAUUAGCACCAUCUAGUGUUCCUAUAAUGAGGCAUCCAUUCAGUGCAAAUUUCAUGUUGCUUGUCCCACUUGCUUCCAUGCCAGCUGUACUGAUGUGUUGAGAUAAUUCACUUCCUGGGAUAAGCAUCUCUGCCACAGAGACGUUAUAAUUGGGGACAAAAACCACCUGAAACGAAUGGUAAAAGAAGUCAGAUUAGUUGAAGAUGAAGUUUAUAGCAAGCAAAAAAUGGAAACAAAAAAGAAAUAUUAUGUAUAGAGUAAAUCUUGAAUAUUCUUGAGCAACAAGAAGUUAAUUUUUGGGAACCACUCCAUUUCACCAAUACUUCCCAUAAACUUCUACCAUGUUGUAUUUUUCCCUAAGCAUGACAAUCCAGUGCUUUUUCCCCCAUAUUCUGAAUGAUUAAUGAGAAGGUGUAAGUGACAAGAAGCAGCCCUGACAGCCAGAUGCAGCAGUAGCAAUCCACUAGUAUAUUAAAAAAAACCUAAUAGAUUCCAAUCAAGUUCAAAUGACAGUUUUAGCUAUGAAAGUCAACAAGACAUUCAAAUUGUCAAUAGUCAAAGUCUGAAAAAGAAAUUCCAAGCAUUGUUUUACUAUCUUCAGUUCAAUACAUUAAAGCUGAGGCAAUAUCAACUGAUCAAGGUACUCCUAUUUAUUCACGAGUACUUCACUGACAAUGAGUAUGUUUCUCCAAAUUCUUCUUUUAUAUUCUUUUAACAGGUAAGGAGAAUUUUAAGAAGGCAUCCAACCAGAAAGGAACUUCCCUAUAAGAUAUUCUAAAAAUUCAUAAAAGUAGUUAACAGAGUAAAAUUGGAAUAAAGGAAAGUGAUAAUGUGAGAGAUGGUCAAGGCAAGUCACACAAGGCGAAAAGAAUAGGUAGUGGUGAAUGAUUUCAUCUCAACAAUAUUAGGUGCCACAGCUUGAACCAACUGUUGGACUAGAAAUGGUAUAAGAACUACAUAUCCAUGAAAAAAGUCCAACUUAAAGUAAAUCUGCACUGGAGAUGUCUAAUGAACUGUUUUACCUUCAAAUAACUAUUGACUUCAGGAUCGCUGUUCACAACAGCACCAACAUCAUUUACUAGCUUAACAAUUCUUUUGGCAUUUGCGUAUGUUGCAAAUGCUUUUCCCCCAAUCAUGACAGUGCGUGGUGUAACCUUUUGCCGUUCUUCAGGGCUCAUCUCCUGGAAUAGAUCAAUUUCAAGAAAUCAUGGUGUAUACUAACAUGUGAUGCACAUAAAAAGUCAAAAGAUUGCAAUACACUGGAGCCACAAUUCAAUCAUUUCUAGGUUGACUACGAAAUCUCCAUUGGUGUUGGAUCACCAUAUAUACUCUUGAAAGAUAUUUCAUACAGGUAUGAUUCAUUGUUUUGGAAGUGAUGAUACUUCCAGAAGAAAACGAGAAUAGAGUCCAGAAGACAAUGAUAGUUAAUACGUUACGGGUUAGUAUUUUUAACAAUUAUGUAAUAAACAUUGUUAACAUCAUUUUUUCCAUAAUCGGAUGAGAUUCCAAUGAACAAAUAACAAAGAGCCAAUAAGCAAUGAUAACCGUAUGAAAGAUCAACUUAAGGUCUUGAUUUAGAAACCUUCAAUUGCUAAUAAAUGUAUUGCAUAUUGAAACACCUAAGGAGAUUAGGAAGUCUACAAUACCUUUAUUUUCUUGUACCUAUAGACUGUCCCCAAAAUGUUUAGCAGCUGUCUUUUGUAUUCAUGAAUGCGUUUAACUUGUAUGUCAAAAAGGGUAUUAGGAUCAAUGCUGACACUUGUCACUUGCAUUAUGUAUUGCGCUAAACGUUGCUUGUUGGCCAUCUUAGCUGAUUCCCACUCAGCAUACAGUUCUUCAUUGUCAACAAACUAUUUGAAGAGAAGGAAACAAUAUAGAAAAGAGUCAGUAAAAAUGCCACUAUGUCGAAGCAAGGUCUUUAAUAAUAAAUAAUUGCAAGUAAAAAUGCCACCAUGUCAAAGCAAGGUCUUUAAUGGGAGAAAAAAUGCCACUAUGUCAAAGCAAGUUUCUUGACGUACCUGCCGAAGUUUGGUGAGGAGAUCGAGGUUAGUCACCCAUUUAUCAGUUUUUAACCAUUUGGUUAUUAUUUGACUAAGCUCAGGACUACAAAACCGAAGCCACCGGCGAGGAGUAAUCCCAUUAGUCUUGUUUUGGAAUUUGGUAGGCCAUAUAGAGACAUAAUCAGCAAAUAAGUCUGAUUUUAAGAUGUCACUGUGUAGUUGUGCAACACCAUUCACCUGAGAGAUAUGGAAACUAAAGGUGAAAAUCUUCUAGAACAGAAGAAAUGAAAAUUUAAGAGACUUAUAAAAGAGUAUAAAAUAAGUAAAAGCCAUGGAAGCAAAUCAACAAUGAUAGGAGGAGAUGACAGUGACAGACACAGAUUAUUGAUGAAUUCAGAUUAGUUGUUGUCAGGGAAGUAUAGCUCGGAAUUUUACCAAUAAGCUAGUAGUUAAAGUAAACCAGUAAUUAGCGCACACUUUAGGUGUGUGCCUCUUAUCAUAUCAUUGUAAUAAAAUAAAAGACAUAUAGUAGAAGCCGAUGCAUUUCUCAAAUUAUCAUGCUAUCUAACUUCUGUGACCAACUAUAUAGGAGUUAGGUUCACCAAUUAGAGAACACCAUACUGAACUUAAACAUUUACUCUCAUCUUGACGAAAGUCACAAGGAUAGUUAUCAAGCUGAGGGUAAAUUUUGCAAAUCAAAAGUGAUGCCAAAGUCUCUUCCCCCUUUAUAAAGAGUCAGAUUAAAAGCUGAAAACAAAAGAAUAGUUGUUUAAUUAUUCCCUCAGGUAUAUUCGGGCCUUUGACAUUUGGAUAUCACAAGAUAAUCGUUAAAGAUAGGAGAUGUGAUAUCCAUUCCACUUAGACAUGUUUCUUACCAUAUGGGAGGACACCACACACAAGUUAGCCAUUCGUACAACUGGCUUUUGGGGGUUGUGGUCCAAGAUUCGGAUGCUGGAAAGUUUAGUCUCAAGGUCAGGUCUUGUUGACUGCACCGUUGCAAUAAACUGCAAGGAGUUCAAGACUGCAAGUUAUUUCAACAUCAAUCUAACAAGAAAGUAGCAAUAAAUGAAGGUGAGUGAACAGAUUACCCUCUUAUCAAUUUCCUCAAUAAUUUCCAUAAGGCGGGGAAGGAGCUUCCACAUGACUGCCUGUGACCAUUUCUCCAGAGCCUCAGGUAGGACUGUAUGAUUUGUAUAGGCUAUUGUCCUAAAUUAAAAUGGUUUAUAACUCAAAUCUGUGAAUUUUCACAAACAGCUCCUUAAAAAGAACCAGAGAAAACAAGUUCCACAGAGUACUCAAAAAUGAUUUAUGUGUGUGCUCAUAAUCAGAAUGAUGGUAGUGAUUGUCGAAGGUUUUGGUUUAUGAUACACUUUUUAAAAGGUGAAGUUCAAUAUAUUUUAUCUAGUUGUUCAAAUGCUUAUCCAUGAUUGCUGGUUUAGUUUUUGCUUCUUCCUUUAUUUCUUUUGUGGUACAUGUUUGGCUCACUUUGCAGUCGAUAGUUAGCUUCUGAAUUGUCCCUUAAGCUUAUUCAUGAUGACAGAGGCAACUAAGAAACUUGGAUGGAACGAAGACAACUGAAAUAUGCAAAACCACCUUGUAGUAAUAUCCCAAGCAUCAUCCCAUCCAAGUCCUUCCUCAUCCAUUAGUAAUCGCAUUAGCUCUGGAAUUGCAAGAGUAGGAUGUGUGUCAUUAAGUUGCACAGCAACCUUUGUGGGAAAUUCGGACCACUGGAGUACACCCUUUCCCACUUGUCUCUCCCUAAAUCUGAACAUGAUGUCCUGAAACAGGAUGAAAUGAAAUAAGUUCUUCACUAAUCAUAAAAAGAAACUUUGCUUAAAAAGAAACUGUCUCUCCUCAAAAAGAAACUUUGCUUGUUUGUUGCUGAAAGCCUAAAGCAUUUUAUUAGGUAUUCCAGUCUCCUUUACGUGUAAAUAUCACAGAGUUUAGGCAUGUUUACUGAAUAGAGGUUUCACUGAACAUAAAAAACUUAAGGUUUGGAAUCAUCAAUAUCCCAAGGCAAAUAUCCUUUUAACCUUUGACAUGCACCGCUUCUAGACUGAACUGUAUAGGCGCCCACCAUGGAAAGAAAAGGAAAAGAGGAAAAUACACCAAGGAAUAUGGCAAACCUGAAGUGAAGCACUGCAAAGGAAAAACUGUUGCUUAAGUCUUAACAAUUUUCCACUUUCUGUAGCAUCCCCAGGAUAAAGAACAGCACAUAUCUGCAAAUACAUGACGUAAGGAUGCCACAGAGAACCAACCGACAGAACAAAUUAAUAUAUAAACCAACAGAAAGUCUGAGAUUGAAUUUUGGAAGUCGAAUCUGGAUUUCCUUUAAGCGACCAGAUGAUUGGCAAUUAAAGUCUUUGCUUGAUCUGAUAACUAACUUUAUUAAGAGUACAAGGGUAAGCCAACCUGUUGAGCCCUAGCAUGGAGCUGUGCAGCAGAUUCAUACUGCCCAUCAUUGAACUGAAACAAGUUGAAGUCCUCAGCACAGGCUUUGGCUUCCCAAAGGCGAAGACUGUUAGUAUUCUUGGUCUUGUACCCUGGAAUUGGUACAUCAUAGGCAACAGCUUGAAUGACCUCUCCACCAACCCAUUUGCGGCUACAAACCGGACAAAGAAUUAAAAGAAAUGAUAAACCAUAUGAAUAACACUAUGAAUGAGAACGAAAAUCCAAUCUGGAAGUUGUGCUAUUGAACUUUUAGUCAACACAUACAGAAGUUAAAGUUGCACAUACAGAAGUUGCACUUACGAGCCAGUAGGAAGGACCUCAACGUGACCAAAAAAUCUGAUGGGGAAUACAACAUCAUGCCUGACAAUCUCCCAUGGACUAAAUUUCUGCAUAAAUUUGUACCAGAUGAAACCCUAUAGGAGUCCCACGACUAAAGAAUGAGUAUGACAGUAGAAAAAGACAAACCUCCAACCAAUCUUCGGCAAUUUCCUCCUGACCUCCUUUGCUGAUCCGCUGCUUAAAAAGCCCAUAUCUGUACCUCAAACCAUAACCCCAAGCUGGCAAGUUCAAUGUCGCCAUUGAGUCUAGAAAGCACGAAGCAAGUCUUCCUAAGCCACCAUUUCCAAGUGCUGCAUCUUUCUCCUACAAUAUACAAUUUUAAGAAUUGCAUUGGAAAUACAUCAUGCUAGGUUUAAGCCAAUAACAAAAGUUAGAAUGAAAUAGACUUGUAUCAACUUUAGUAUUUAAAGAAUGUUCACUGAUCCAAUUGGAAACGAAAAAUAAUUGUAAGAACACCUAAAUAAAUGGCUAUGCAGCAUUGCACACUGUCAGAUCCCAACUGACGAAGUAAAGAGAAUGUGAAAAGGUUCUUAAAGUGGAACUACCUGCUCAACGAUUUCCUCUAGUUCAUGACCCAAUUUCUUCAAAGCAUCAGAAUAAGCAUCUUGGAUAUCAAGGUUUCCAAUUGCGUUAGUCAAAGCUCGCCCUUGCAGAUACUCCAUGGACAAAUAGUAUGUUUGCUUUGGGUUGACUUUGUGAUAAUGGAGGUACGUAUCAUUCCAUUGCUGUGGGGGUAAACAACAAACAGUAAAAAGAAAAAUUAGAGUGGGUGAAACUUGUGAAAAAAGUACAAAGCAGACUCUAGCAUUAAGAACAUGCACAACAAUUUGCAAGCCACAAAAAGAACACUUUUACCAAGCAAAGCACUUGUAUGAUGAAAUGGAACCAGAUACACCAAGAGAUGAGCUCAAUGCAUGAAGGUGUUCAUUGAGUUUGAAAAUGCAAUUCUUUUCAAGUCAUACACUAGCAAAUGAACUCCGCAAAAAUCUUUCCUUCUAUACAUGACUCCGUAACGAGUGCGGGUAUGUACAUCGCACAGGGCCGGCAAGUCCACUUCAAAGAUGAAUAGACAACGCAAAUCAACCUUGGGCACAUGCCACACAUUCUGGAGAAUAAUCACUGCUAUAUCUACAACAAAUUACAGAGCAGUAUAGCAAAUUUGCCACAAAAAGGAGCAAAAUUGCUUACAAGCUUCCAAAUAGACCGCAUGAGCAAGUACAUGCAUAAGGUAGAUAAUUAACAACAUUGGAUAUGCUAACAAAGCAAAGACGUCACCAUCUUCAGUCGCUAGUCAAAUCCAAACAUACAAUCAACAAAUGAUUCAACAAAGGCAAACCGAAAAAACAAAAUUUACAACGGCAAUUCAAAUUCUAUACCUUGAUCAACCGAUCACGAACACUAUCAGCAGUGGCAUAGAAAGCUUGCUCUGGCUCGAACUUGAAAGGGGAGAAAUGAGGACUGUAUUGAGCAUGAUAGAUGAUAUUGGACGCAAUCUCCGUAGCCUCUCCGGCCAGCGGCUGCGCAACCGCAGGUACUUCCGCUGGAAUUCCUGAUUUUAUGGUUUCAUUACCGCUUGAUGUUGCCGGCACUUCCAUAUCUGGUCCUAUUAUCAGCAGAAACUUCUUCUAUAGACCAAAAAAAAAAAAAAUCAAAAUCCAAACAAUUGAAUCGUACUCCCAGAAUCAAGCCAUAAGAAUGAAAAAUUAACUCCUACUGAGAAGAAAAAUGCAGAAGUGAGAUUCUGAAACACAUUGUCCAUGUGAAUAUUUCGUUAAUUAAUGAAAAAAACUGGUAAAAUAUCAAUAACAUGACAUGAUUACCUAAUCUGUGUUGAGACUUGAGAACGGUGCUACUGCUGAAGAGGAAGCGAAAUAUGAGUGCCUGUUAAGUUUCAAUAAUAUUUGAGUGAAGGUUCGGGAGAUAUUUUGGACAAAGUUCUAAAAAGAGAAUGGGAGAGAUGGUAGGGGUGCGGGCGGGGGAAUAUGCUACUAUCAUGCAACUCAUCAAUUUGGAGAUAUUAAAGGGAAAUCUGACAAACAAACAAAUGGAAAUGCGAAAAAAGUACGGUCUCUUGUUUGUUUUCUAGUUAGGAAAGAAGAGAAAAAAAAUAUCUGGAAAAGUGCUUAUGUGUGCGAGAGAGAAAGAGUGAGUUGCAGUUUGUAUACUUUGCUUGCAUCAUCAUCACCCCCGGCGUCGCAUUCAUGUCAUAUCGCACGGGAAUCGGCGGAGGAGAAGAGAGUGAUUGGACGGCUUCGGCGGCUGAAGAAGUGUGCUGGAGGCAACCGUUUUCUAGUGUUUUCGAGUGUGAAUUUGCUGGGGCUCUAAAUAUCCAACACAGUCUAGUAUAGUACCACUAGUAAACUUAUCAUCUUACAAUUAUGGGUUUGUUGGUACCUUGCUUGAGAUAGCCAGACAACAAAAAAGAACGAGAGAAGAAGAAAGAGAAUAAAAGAGCGGAAUUGAGAUGGGUGAUGGGACAAGGCCACGUGUGGUUCAUGCAUAAAAAGUAAACUGGAAGGCGCUCUUCGCUCGCCUCGAGACUCCACAAUACAACUGGAUUCUCACGCAUUCGUCGUGACACCGGGAGCAAUCUAGAGCCAGACAGCCCCCCCCCCCCCCCCCCCCCCCCCUUUUUUUUGUGAAAAUUACGCUUAUAAGUGAAUUCAAGUUUACUUUUAACCAGUAGGGAUGAUCAUUUUCUCGAAUCUCGCUGUGGAUGUAAAAAAUUUAUGGAUGAAUAAUUUAUAAAAAUAAUCUAUAAUUUCAAGAGGCAUACUUUGAUUCGUAACAAUGACUGAAGUCAAACUCAUUCAAAUUUUUUUUAAAAAAAAAAAUUCAAAUCUCUAAGCAGUCAUGAGUAGUUCUUGAUUUUUUUUCCUUGGAUGAAUAAAAUCUGUAGUAAUCAGUAUCUGGAAUCCCGUAUAGGUCCUGCCAAUCCCUUCUUAUACCCCCCUCGACGACAUUUGCUGAAUGGUGAGUAGCAGCAGCAGUGUGAGCAAUGCUUAUGUCCUUGAAUUCCUUUCUGAUUUGCCACAAUACCUCAGCACAUCUCUUCAUGGAUGGUCUUGCCCGUCUUGAAGGGUCAAGGCAUUGCCGAGCAAGUUUGAGUACCUUUUCAACAGCCUGGUUUGAUGCUGGAUUUCUUCGUAAUCUUGGAUCCAUUACCACCGCAACUUCUCCGUCCUUUAAUUUCCUCAGAGCCUGCAAGCAAACAUCACCAUGAUAUGAUGGUUCUGAAUCGCAUGCAAAUGAUCUACUAUGAAAAUUGCAGAAGCCUAUAAUCAGGCAGAAAGCAGGUUACGUUUGUCCUGAUCUAUGAAUUCACUUACCCAUCUUACGGUUACCCUCUCAUCUGUGCUUUUGUUCGAAUCAAUGGGAUGCCUUCCUGUCAUCAUUUCCACGAGCAAUACGCCAAACGAAUAUACAUCACUUUUUUCAGUGAGUUGGUAUGUCUUGAGGUAUUCAGGAUCCAAGUAGCCAGCUGUUCCUUUAACUUGAGUGGAAAUGUGAGUUGCUGUAGGAUCCUCAGCGGCUAGCCGUGCAAAUCCAAAGUCAGCUACUUUCGCACGGUAUUUUUCCGUGAGCAGUAUGUUUGAUGCUUUAAUAUCUCUAUGGAUAAUUGGAGGCUCUGUAAUUUCAGGUUGAGCCAAAAAAUUAGGAACUGAGUAGUACUUCUAAUAAAGUCUGCAAACGAAGAUAUUAUUGUUUGCUCGCAACGUACAAACUUACCAGUGUAUGUGUGGAGAUAGGUAAUUGCAUGAGCGACAUCAGUUGCAAUGUCUAAACGUUCUGCAGUUUCAAGUCCAUCUCCCCGCGUCCCUGCAUCACAAGGUCGCUGGAUUUCAAUUUUGACACACAACUUUCCCGUGAUCAUUAUGUUUGAUGCUCUGAUGUCUCUAAUAUUCAUGCUAAAAUCGAAGAGCUAACAUAUUUGUGUUGAAAUAAAUGUAUAGGAGGCCUAUUUACAGCCAAGAUCCACGGAUAGAAAUAUAGUGUGAUUCCGGAUUCCUUAUUCAUCUCAAGAUCCCAUGAAGUAACCUGAGCUUUCUCCUUGCCACUUUACCAGUUACUACCUACCCGAGAUUCAAUAUGCAGAUUAGGAGAAAACAAAACUAAGAUUUAUUAUUCAUCAAAGCCUAACACUUGAAGAAAAAAAGGGGAUGAUCACAACAAGCAAUAAUAACAAAUCUAUCAGGACAUAACUUUUCCCCCCCUUAUAGUUGACAAUGCAUGCUAAGUUUUCCCAUAGCAAAGAAGCUCAACAAAAAUCUAUUCCAGAAUCAGCUAAUUAACGUGGAAGUUCGUGUGGACGUUAUUUAUCUCAGAAAGCAAAUGAAUGCCAUUGCAAUUCAAGUGAAAAUAUGGGGUUCGUGUUCGUGCUCUGUUGCUUCACCUACCGUCCAAGUGCUCUCUAAGGGUUCCAUUGCUGACAUAUUCAACGAUGAUUAUGCGCUCGUUUCCAUGCUCCAGGUACCCCAGAAAUCUUACCAAAUUCAGGUGCUCGAUCUUUGAUAAUGUCAAAAUUUCAUUCUUGAACUCUGCUGACAAACGUUGAUCAAAAGAUUCCUGCCAAAAUUUUCGUGUUACAUCGCAAAUUCACAGGAAAUGGCCCCUCAAGAUUUACAUUUGUUGGUGGUUAAUUCUCCUUACCAUUUUAGCGCGCUUUAUGGCGACCAUAAAUCCAUCCCAAAGCUUCGCCUUGUAAACUGUUCCGAAAGCUCCCUCACCAAUUAUAUUUGCUGAAGAAAAAUUGCCAGUUGCCUUCGAUAUCUCAUUAAACGAAGUUUGAAGUGAACCAAUCUGUAUAAUAUUGUCAUUGGAAGACUCGCGAGAGUAGGAGUAUUUUGUUCUUGAUGAAGAUUUACUAGUGCUUCCAGUAGAAUCAUCUAUUGAAUCUGCAGAACGUCAAGAACCAACCCAAAAAAAAAAAAGGUUAAUUCAUGCCACUUCCAUGCAAAAGUGGAUUGACAAUAUAGUGAGAUGUAUCAAAAUCCCGUCAUGUAAUAAGUAUAAGCUUAUCGGUAACCUCAAUAUCAGAAUCUGCUUCUUGAUUUACUUUUGUAUUCUAGUAUAUGCUCAUGCCAGACCAUUGUCCAACUUGGGGGCAAAUGAAGAUACAUAGAUCAAUGCCAAGAUGGCAUGCUGGGAAAGAUUUACUCACCGGACAAUCCUGUAACAGCACGUUUUACUUUGUUGGCUUUAGUUUGAUCAGCGGUGGAGUUGACCUCCCUCUUCCAAAAGAGAAGCGCAGCAAGAACUCCAGCCACUCUCUUGCUGGCAGCUCUGAUGAAGCUGGAUGUAGAUCGAGACUUCUGAUUCGUUGCAGAAGUCUGAUUGCUAAUUGCACUGGUGUGGGAACGGGGACUGGGACUCUCUUUUCUGAUUUGGCACCGACGGAUGAUCAGAGGACUCGGAGUUUUCAUCCUAUGCAGAGACGGAGACCCUUCUGGCAGGACAAUCUUUGACUCAUCAUUCUCUAAAACUUUAACCACUAGCGAUGACACCGUCUUGCUAAAUGCCCUCUAGCCGUAGAUUCAGGACUGAUUCAAACAUUGUGUUAAUUGGUACUCGAAGAUGGAAAGAGUAAAACAGAGACACUGUCAACUGCUGGAUGGAUUACUUGUCUGAAGUAGAAUGUCGAUAAUACGGAAAAUUUUGUCUGAAUAAUAAGUUCAACUUGUUCAGAUCAAUCAUUACUGGUACGCGUGUGUGUGUCUAUAUAUAUUUAUAUGUAUAUAUAUAUAUAUAUAUAUAUAUAGCUGCACAAGAGCUCAAGGUUGUUUUGGUUUUGGCCGUGGCAUGGAGCCAUGACUAGUUUGAUAAUGGUUAGAAAAGAUAGUCAAAAUAGACACGGUAUACAGGAUGCAAAAAAAGAACAAGGUGCAGAAAACCGGUGGCAACAAUCAACUAUUGAACCCUUUUCAUCUUGCUCACACGAGUUUUACUCUCAUUUACACGAGCAACUGGUGUUCAAAUGGUGUAUUAUUUGAAAUAAGGAAUCAUUUCAAAAACCUCUCCUGAGAUUUCUGAUAAUUUCAACUAGCCUUUCUUGAAGUUAGUAAAAUUACACAAACCUCCCCUGAGGUUAAGAUUUUGAUAACAAAAUUAGUCCAAUUAAAAAAAGUAACAUUAAAAAAGUACUUUAAGAAGAGAGAUGAAACUUUUAUUCCAUAAAUACCCCUUAUGCAUGUAUAUAAGUUGUAUUAGUAAAAGGAUGAAAAGAUUUAAAAAUUAGAAACAAUUAAUACGCAUAUCUCACUAUUCAAAAAAUUCACAUUUAAUAAAUUAGACAACACAAAUAAGCAACAAAACUACACUAAUGAAUACAACAUUUAACAAAAACAAACUAGUCAUCUUUUUUGACAUAAUAUUUGUUACGAUUCUUAUGAUCUUUAACAGAAAAUUUUUUCAAAAUUUACCUUUCUUUUCCCUCAUUUCUCCUUUAUGAAUAUCUAAUGAUUAAGUAAUUAGAGUACUAAUUAACUAAUAGUAACUAAUUAGGUGAAAUAACUGUUGAAAAUUUCUUUAAUGAUGAAUGAUGACUUGUAAUUACAAAAUAACAUCAAUUGAUAUACCUUAUGACAUUAUCUUGUGAUUGAUAUAAUUUGACAAUAACUAGAAAUCAGUUGUAUAUAAUGUGAGAAGAAGGAAUUUGGUAGAAGAGAAAAUUGUUCAUGAGGAUAUUUUCUUUAAAACUCUUAAAGUUGUGAUAGUUCUAAAAUAAUUUCAUGGAAGUAAAAGAGAAAUAAGAGGGAAAAAGGCAAAAUUUGAAAAUUUUUCUAUUUAAAAUCACAAGAAUCAUAACAAACAUCAUGUUAAAAGAGAUGAUUAAUCUGUUUUGCUGAAUUUUGUGAUAAUUAGUGUAAUUUUAUUAUUAAUUUGUGAUGUCGAAUUUAUUAAAUGUGUGCUUUUUGAGUGGUAAAAUAUAUUUAUUAAUUAUUUCUAACUUGUAAUUAUUUUUAUUCUUUUAUUAAUACAACUUAUAUACAUACAUAAUAGGUAUUUAUGAAAUAAAAGUUUCAUCUCUCUCCUUAAAAUACUUCUUUAGUGUUAUUUUUUCUAAUUGGACUAAUUUUGUUAUCAAAACCUUAAUCUCAUGGGAGGUUUUGUAUAAUUUUACAAACUUCAGGAGAGACCAGUGAAAUUGUCAAAAACCUCAGGAGAGGUUUCUGAAAUUAUCCCUUGAAAUAAUUUCAGUAACUUUUUGCUAUUUGAUGUAUAUAAAGUAAAAGAGUAGUUGAAAAUAUAAAAAAAAAAAAUUAAAAACAUAUUUAUAAUACAAGUAAAAUAAUAUUUAAAAUAAUUUAUAUAUCCAAAACUCCAAACACACCCCUUGUUUUUGUCAAAAGCCAAAAUUCUAGCACGGCAAUCCCUGUUUAGAAACAAAUAAUUCAAUAAUCAUAGAGGCAGAGUUCGAGCCAGGAAAGGCCAUCCUCCGUCUUCCUCAAUCCGAGAACAAAGAUUCGAAGAAACCAAUACAUUUGCCACCACAUUAGUGUUUAAGCAAAUUGCUUUGUCAGAUUGUUUUACGAAAAUUGAAAUUGCAAAUCCAAAACAUUAGUAGAGAGCCAUCCGAGAUUGUUACAAGUUAGCCAACAUUGGUAAGCGUUUUAAGCAAACAGCGGCACUCUCCAUGCUGAUGGACACUGCAAAAAUACAUUGGAUUUUCCGUACUGCAGGGACCGCUGGAUCAGCAUCCUAUUUAUACAAGGCAAUCAGAAUUUUACAAAUUUGGGACUUUCGUUGGCCAAAAAGUACCUUCCCGGCUUCCCAGUUCCCACAGUACUGCAUCCAAGAAACCAAAAGAACUUGCUAGAUUGAAAACGUUCGUUAAUAUCCUUGACCCUUUCUCGUUUCUAUAAACUACUUUACAAAGAUGAUGCGAGCAAACAGGAAACUAUCAGAAAUACAGACAUCUAAAGAGUUUCAUCAAAAUUGACUCUCCCCCCUGUGGCGAAAAAGUUCCAAAAGAGAGCAGCCGAGAAAUAGAGAAAAGCUGUAAGCAACAAGAAUCCCUUAAAAGAACCCACUAAUUCCACGAAGUAGCCGGCACCAACCGUUCCAACUAUAGCAGCAAAUGUACCAGCAGUAUUUGAUAUACCUAGAGUUUACAGAAGGGACAGAAUUAGGUAAAGAUUUCGAACAAGAAAAUUUCAUGCCUGAUUUUCAUAAAUUAAAGGAAUAAACGAGGUUUGAAGAUAUUAACAGGGAUCUUCUUUUUUAUGUUCAUUGAAGUGUUGAAAGGGGAGGGAGGCUGGCCUUGUAUACUGAGGUUAUACUCCCAUGUAGACAAUAAAUUAGAUAUCGGUAUGUAGAACUAGGAGAUUAAUAGUAGAGGAGAAUAAAGUUGAACGAGUACAAUGCAUAAAACUUUGCAAGAAAAUCAACAGAGUUACCAUGGAGGACGCCUGAAUACUGUGGUGCAAUCUCCUGACAAGGUAAUGGUACAAGAUAUAUCAGGUCUGAUGCAAAAAAACCAACUGAUCAAAUGAUGAAUUUCACGGAAUAUACUAACCUGGAGGUUCACGAGGAAGCCACAAUGACUGAAUGCUUUUAGCCCAACUGCUAAAGUAAGCCAAGCAGAUGCAUUGGAUGGACUUCUUGCCAUUGUUAGACCAACAAGAGCUAUCCCAGGUCCAAUAAAACCAAUUGACUGCAGAGGAAAAAUAAAACUUCAUACAUACUGUAAACUUGUCCCAUCUUGUUCCGUAAGGAAGUAAAAAAGUGAGGUCGAAUGACUAAAUACAAAUCACAUAUUGAACACCAUUAGUGACUAGCUCUAAAGAAGUCUGGUAGAAGUAGAACUGAAUUUAUCACUGAGGCGCAAACAAUAAAACUAAAAAAAAAGUAGAAUUUGAGAAAAAGGGAAGAAAAUAAAAAAGGAAAAGAGCAUAAGACCAGGAACAAUGGUCCAUCAAAACAAAGUUUCCAAUUAACUAGGGUAAAUGAAAUUUGAAAAAUGACUCAGCCAAGAUUUUUGGCUGAGGACAAUAUUCUUUUUAUUUUCUCCCUCGAUUGUUCCAUGUGAUUACUUUUGUACCAGCAAACCCCACAAUAUCAGAGGGACAAAAGACAUACUGAUCAUAUAUAAACAAUCACAUGCAUAGCCUUUAUCCCGACUUAAAUUCAAACUUUUUUUUUUUAAAUUUUCCCAAACUUAAAUUCAAAAUCUAGUAAAUCUGUUUCUUUAUAAAUAGCAUUUCCCAUAUACAAAUUACAUAAUUGCAAAGGCCAUUACUAGAGACAUCCUAAACUCAUUUCUCUACUGUCCACGUGAAAAUUCAUUGGAGUCUAUAAAAUGACUGUCAUACAUUUUGGUGAUAAAGAAAGGGAAAGAAAGAUAAAAGACAUGUCUUGGAACUUACAAGGACAAAGAGUAAAUCGAGUUAGUUAUUUCAACAAUAUAUAUAGCCAAUUGGAAAUUGAUAAAAUUGCCAUACUUGCAUGAUUUUGCGGGUUAAUGUCACACUUAUGCCUCUCUGAAUCAUCAUGUCUGACAAGACACCAGCAAAGUAACCUGCCACGGCCAUCAUGCUCCAAGGAACAGCACUAAACCAUGCUGCUUGUCUUAAAUCAACAUGAUAUAUCUACAAGUAAAAGAGAAACUUUUGAUUUCCUAUCUUCAGAUGCAUAAUGUUAUUUAUCGCAUGUCAUGUACAGACAUAGUUUUUUACCGUCUUGAAAUAAAUGGGCAUCCAUGAAAGUAUAACGAAAAAUCCCUGCAUGAGGUAAAAAAAAAAAAGGUAAAUGAUUUCGUAAAGGACACAGACUACAGACUAUAGAGCAGGCGAAGAAUGUCUUUUCCACCAAAAUGCACCUAUAAACAGCCCAUAAAGAUAUGUGACAAUAGUGGAACACAAAUUCAUCUCUCCAAUUUCAAAGUUCGGACUAACCUUCUCUCAAUUUUCUAAAAGACCCAAUAAUCUCACAACUUGCUCCGAAAAUCUUCAGAACUUAAAACAAUGCUUUCUAAUUAUCAAAUAACCAAUUUCCCAAUUAAAGAGUAUCAUUUGAUCUCUCAAAGAACACCUUGUUCUCCUACCCAGUACCAUCAAAGUGGUAACUUUUAAUUCAAUUAUGAGACACACACAAAAUCACCUUUUUGUUUAACCAAUUUUCAGGAUUAACCAAUCAAAGAUACUAGUUCAAAGACAACAGAAAGUUGAUGCAGUGCAUAAAUUACCCAGCUGUGCAUUGCAUUUGCAACAAUCAGAGUCCAUGUUGGUAGCUUAGAAAGCAAGCGCUUAAAUGGAGGGAUAACUUUGCUUUUCUUUGAUUUAUCCUUUAUGACAGAUUGCAUGUUCCCGUCAUUCUGUAUGUACUGCAACUCAUAUGCUGAUAUUUGAUGGCAUUUGUCCGGGGUGCUUGAGGUUGCAGAUAUCCAGACCAAAACCCAGAGAAACCCAGACAAUCCAAAUAUAACAAAUGGACCAUACAAACCACCCUGAGACAUGAGAAUGGGAGAAAGUGUGAGUCCAAUAGCACUUCCAAGCUGGAAUCCCGCCAUUGCAAGUCCAACAGCUCUUGAUCGUUCUGUUUGAGGAAACCAUCUAAAAUCAAAGGUUCAGAGAUACCCUUAGCAGUUUGGACAUGCCAAAUCUUCAACACAAUAAACUUGACAAAGAAUAUAUCAUGUAAAUCAUGAUAAUUAUGGAUUCAAUUUCAUAAAUUGCAUACCUUGCAAUCAUGUUGUUCAUGCAUGGAAGAGCUACCCCUUCUGCAAUGCCAAGCAACAUCCUCAUAGCAAGAAGUGCGCACAAGGAAUUUUCUGCAGCCCAGGGGGUGAGAAAGGUGGCUAAUGACCAUAAAGUGACACCCCAAGCCAUGACAACUUUGCCCCCGUAAAGGUCCACCAAAGUUCCUCCAGCUAUUGGCGAUAUUAGGUAUCCCCAGAGAAAAGAUGACUGCCAUUAGUAAGUAAAUUAAUGAGAUAGCCUAUAAUGUUUAGAAGCUGUUUUUAAAACAGAUCUUGAGCCACUCACUGUACUCCUUUUUGUCAAAGAACAAGGUUUCUUUACCAAUGUGAUUGAAUUUCACUCCUAAGUGGGUCCAACUGUCCUUUUAUUCUCCAUUUAACAGUUAGAUGAUCACUUCAAAAGAUCCUACAGAAAUGUAAUGCUCACGUUCUCAAGCAAGACAGGGAAACAAACAAAUGGCACUUGACAUCCUGUUUCCAGCAUUCAAAUAUAUGCCAUUGAAAACUUAAUAAUCUAUCUCUAUAUGCGCAUUUAAAUUCAGCAGGAGAAUUUGUAUACAAGUGGUAUGGACAGAUAUCCAUUGGUUUUAUUCUUUAAGAAACAAAAGGAUCCAAAAGCUUGAGUCACAAGAACAAGAACCACAACAUGACAAAGACAGGUUAUUUAGGCAAAUAGACAAAAGUAAAUGCUGAUAUCUCUUGAACUCCUGGAAAACAUUACUGGGAUUUAGAAAAACCAACAGACACAAAAUGCUGCAAGAAUUUUCACCUUAAAAAUGAAAUACUAUCUUCAAGGUGAAGAACUCCAAUCAUAUGCAAAUAUGACUUACAAAUCAGCUUGUAUGUUCUGAUGUAAAGUCAAUUCCAGUAAAUAUGAAACACUAAUCACAGUCUGCUUUUUUUACGUCAAAUCCUCUUGUUCUCGAGUAAAUAGCAAAACAGCAAAAAGGUAGAAUGACUUGAGCACAAUCGCCAGAAAUACAAAGAUUGCUACCUUCCACGCAAAAUAAAUGUUGUUUUUUAUUUUUAUUAUUAUUCUCUUAUGUGGCCUUUUUCUGUUUAUAGUUCAUAACAUCAUCAUAUAGUUGACCUUUGUAUUCAAAGGCAUUCUCUAGGACAAAUAUCCAGAAUAAAUUUUCUAUAAUAGUAAGACCAACAUAUCCCGCAUGCAAACGCUCUCAAAUUCCAAGAGCUAAUAUUCAAAAAUGCUGGAUCACAUACUCAGCAGUUAGGCUAAAUGAACCCUUUUCUACCAUUCCGCUUUAUUUAAGGUUCAUACUUUCUUUCGAAUUCCAAGAGUUAAUCUUCAAAAAGGCCAAAUCACAUACUUUGGGAUUAGGCCAAAUGAACCUUUUCUUCCAUUCCGGCUUUAUUCAAGGCUCAUACUUUCUCCAAGUUCAAAAGAAUAAAUACAUUUCUUCAAGAAACAUUGACAUUUUUAUUCCAGUUGUGGGUUGAGAUGAAUAGGCAGGAAAACAUCACCCCAUUUCAUGUUGAACAGUUAUUUAGAAAUGUUAGGAAACACCACAACAGUAAUCCAAAGCUAAGUCAGGAAAAUAAAACAACGAUAUAGCAGUCAUAAUUUUUUUUAAAAAAAAUUACCUGGACAACCCCGGCGAAAGAUUGACGCCAGCCAUGAGAAAGCGAGAGGGGAACGAUAGCGACCGACAUGACGACUCGGUCAGCAUUACAAAGUGCCAAAGCUAAAGCCAGCAUAGCCACCACCUUGACUCUCUCGGAAGUAAUAAACUCCACCGCAGUCGGCUGACGGAAUUCGCCUCCGCUGCUACUGGAAAUCGACCUAGAACCAUUCGACGAAGAAGCCCUAAUCGGUAGAAUCCGUUCACUUCGAAGUCUAGAAGAAAAUUCAGUUGCACAAGCAGUGCUGGUUUUACUCCACCAAUUACGAUGGUUCAAUUUACAGGGAAGCUUAGAAGCACUAGAAUUAGUUAAUGGCAGUUGCCUUUCCGAAGGUUUAGGGGUUUGAGGGCUCUUAAUCGGGGUUGGGCUGCUGACGGGAAGCGGGCGGCGGAGAGCAGCCGGAGAAUUCAUUCUGCAAUUGGGUCCAAGUCAGCAAUUUAUACGAAAUCCAUUCCCUGAGUUGGGCGACAUACUCGGUGUUGAACUAAAUUCGAGUAAUCUAUCAAGUGAACACUAGUGAUCAGGAACAUAGGCUGCCGCCUGAAAUACUACUCCUUAAUACUGGAACCUAAAGUCGAAAUAGCACAACAGUUCUGCUACUCCUACGUAGCGACGAAAAUGCCGUGGUGUUCUUCUUGGCAGUUUAUUAAUGGCUAAGCUAAAGACCAUAGCAGGAAUCUUAUAAAGUUUUGGCUUUAGAUAAAUCGAGCAGAGAAGGAACCUGUAGACUAGUAAAUAAGGAUGAGACUAGCUCAUUGGCACGAGUCUGAUGUUUAUCUUCUGGGCUUGAAAGUUGGUACUGCUACUAUUAUUGUUGAUGCGUUCGGUUCGCAUUGUCGAAUCUAAUAAUAGAGUGUGAUUCACCUUACAUGUUUGGUUUAAGGGUUCGUUUGGGAGUGGAUGAUUUGGAGAGAAAAGAAAGGGAAAGAAGAGAAAGUGAACAUUUCCUUCGUUUGUUAGUUUUAACUAGGAAAGAAAAGAAGAGAAAUGGAAGGAUUCAAGAAGAUAAAUAGUAAGUAAAAUUUUUCCUCCCAAAUUGGAGAGAAAGUUGGAGAAAGCUUAUGAGAGUUUUUUAAAAUACCUAUUUUAUCCUUAAAAAUGUCUUGAACAAAUAUUUAAUGACUUUUAUAUCCAAAAUCAUUCCACUAAUUCUCAAAACUCCCAAACAACAUAACAAUCCCUUCUCUUCUCUCAUAACUUAAGUUUUCCUUUCUUCUCUUUUCUAUCCUAAACUCCCAAACUUAGCAAGAGUAAAUAGAUUCUAUUUUUAUUAACAAAAAAUUAAUUUGAAACCCGAUCUAUGAGACGGGAAUGAUUCCGCACGUCAAUCAAAUAAAUUAUAGGUGCAGUUAUAUCAUUAUUAACUUUGAUGCGUAUUCCUGUCCCUUGAACUAAAUUUCCAAACAUUUUUUGUUAACUUUGGACAAAGGAUUAGCUUUGAAGGAAUAGGAAGGUACGGAGAGGAAAGAAAAAGAAAUGAAAUGGAUGAAUAAAGUUUUUGAUGUUUGGAUUAAUCUUUUGAGAGGGAAAGAAAAGAAUAGGGAGAGAUGAGAUCUCCUUAAUUUUUGUCGCCCAACUUUCUGCUUCCUUUUCUUUUCCACUAAAGUCCUCUCACUUUUCCUUCCUUCCCUCCCCUUCAAUUCAAAUGGUGCCUAAUGCACUCUGUCUUUCUUUUCUUUUAUCUUUUGUAUUUUGCAAAGAUGUCAGGGAACAAUUUUAGAAUGUACUAAAUAAUUGAAAGAAAGCAAGAAAGUCGUAAAACUCAAGUAUUAAAAUUUUAAUUUCAUGCAUUAAACUAAUAAGUAACAGGAAGUAAAGAUUAUGAUUCCUAUUAAAAAUAUUUUAUUCAAUGAAAAUUAUACAUUCAUCAUACAAAAUAACUUCAACACAAAGGCAUUUAAUACGAGAUUGGGAGAGUAUAUUACUAGACUUUGAUGUUCUACUUGUAGCCAGCAAUCAGAGCAGGUAGUGCAAGAUUAAAAGUUGCUAGCUUCGUAGCACCUAUUACUUGAUACAUAUGGCCAUCUAGAUCAAUCACCGGGGUCGGCGCAAUAGCCAUGAGAGCUCUCAGAGUUCUCUUGGCUGUCAAGUUCAAAAUUCCACACACUUGAGAUUGAGAAGAAUGUUUGAGAAGAAUGUGAGAAGGGGUGGGAGGUCAAAAAGGAUAUAUAAUAAUAAUAAUAAUAAUUCCAGCUUGAGCUUCUUAUUCCAGUUGUAGCAAAAUUUUGCUAAAACCAUGACUCGUUUGUUGCACUGUUAUCAUGAUCACAUCCAAUUAUUUUCAGAAUCCGAUCCAGUGCCUUGUCAAAUUACUCUGUAAUGACAAAUUUCAAGAUACAAGUGCAAUCAUCUCUUUGGUAAGAUAAACAAUUCGUCAUCAGCUGCUCUAUCUGACUCUGGAUGAUUAUACCAACCACUAAUCCAGUUCCAACAUUAAAGCAGAAGCAGUUAGCAGACGAAUAACUACUUCCUUUCCCCGUGUUUCAAAUAGUGCAGAGACCAUUGAACCCCUUCCCCUUCUGUAGAGUCAGCGGCAUUAAGUUCGGAAAACUUCCGAACAAAUUACAGCUCGUUCCAUUCAAUGUGCAGAAGAGCUUCGGUAGAAUGGGAACUCUCCAGGCAUCGAAGCAAACAAUUAAUCCUGGAAAAUCUUAGUGAUCUCAAAGUCUAUCUGUAUGUCCAGCUAGAAUUCACUCCAGACUUCCCAUUUGUCUGGUAUCUCGUUCCAGAAGAAUAUCUUCCAGUUCCAUCUACAGAAAUAGAAAAAGCCGCUACCCCAUGACCUACUAAUUUGAGAAGGUAGCAAAAGGUUCAGCUUUUCACCGUAUGUCCAUACUGUCCCUGGCUAUAAUCCUACAAUGUGAAGCUGAAGUUAUGAAACCAUAAUUUUCUCCAAAUAUCAAACCGUAGAUUCUAUGAUACAUAAUGACAUAGAAAAUCAACAGCCACAGUUGAUACCUGCAGGAGACAAUCUUCAGGCAACCUAUGAAACCCUAGGGAGCCUCAUGGCAUGUUUUUUCUGGUGGCAAACUUACACUCUGUUGGUGCAAUUGUCACAAUCGGAAUAUAUUCAGCCAACAUCACUGCUGAAAAUUAAGAAUGAAGCAUCAAAAGAUUUCAGUCAACCGUGAACCCACUUCGACUUAAUUAUAUCAGAAAUUACCGCCCAAGUGUGCUGUCUUACUAACCAAACAACCGCAGUCUAUGUCACAAACUCCAUUAGACAGGCUGAUACAACAGAAGUAUACAUCUUACACUGGUUGCAAUCACUCUACAAAGCCACUAUCCUUCACAGUUGAUGCUUUGGGAGAAAAGUUCAUCACCAAUUACCUAUUUUUUUUCCAGCAAUCUGACUCUCCAAGUACAGGAAUACAAAGCUCGGUGUCUGUUGCAGACAUCCUUCUCAGGAUUCCACAAUUACUUCUGCCUUUGUACACUGUUCCUGUGGUUACUGUUGUCACUUGCAGCUCAUUGUUUUUAGCUGACAGUGUACUCUAGAUACUGCUAAUUUAAUUCCAAUGUAUGAAGAUUAAAUUAAUUUUACUUGAUGUGCAAUACCACCAAGUGACCAUUUGAAAGAUUAGAUUUCUUGUGCUAUCCACAGGUCAGGUAUGUGAGCUCACCAAUUAAACAGAGUUAAUAACAAUAGAUGAAUUUGGCAUUGUUUCUUCUGCUCUGAAGUUUGACCAUGCAUCAAACACAAUAACACAUACAGCAGAUUCAAAAUUCAAGUAUAUUUAACAACUAGAUGCAAACUUGUAGGAAGAUCUGUACAUAAGCACAAAAGGCAACUAAAACUUAAAAGAUUUAAAUCUCCACCAGUUUCUUUCAAAUUUCAAAAUGAACGCUUAUUGCUAACAUGCAAUUAUAAAUUUCAUUAUCUAAGUAGAAACAUGUCCCUGAUGUCAAAAUAAAAGUUUCUGCAUGUAUUACAUACAUCCAGUGAUCAUAACAUCACAUUUUGCUUGCAUGUUUACCAAACAGUGAAUGUCGGCCUUCGGCAAUAAGCUCUCCUGUUAAUUUGUUCCUCACGAUCACAAGCGUUCCAGAAUAACCACCUUUUCGACCUAAAAGUGUCGAGACAAUCUCCAAUUCAUCCUGAGAAAGUAAGAUAUUCAACUAAUCAAGUUAAAAACCAACAUUUGCCAAUCAAACAAUUUCACUUUUAGCCAAUAUGUGACGCACAAAACCGAUUAGCCCCUGAUCUGGUAAUAACAAGAAUACCCUCUCUUUUUUUCCCAAUUUGCAAUAAAAAUACCAAUAUAUUGGAUCGAUAGCCCUUAUCGAGUUAUCAAACAAUCCUGCUUAAUAACGAAGAGAUUUAUUAACGCACAAAUGAAAGUAUUAUUAACUAAAACCAGAAUAUCUGGAUUACUCGUUCAUUAACAUGAACAUUAGAUAUUCCAACAUGGAAAUUGAAAUCAUUUGAGGAGGGCUUACAUCAAGUUUGGCAGUUGAGAGGUAAGAAAUGGACAUAUCCACUGAAACAUUCAUGGGGAGUCCUUCCACGUGGACCAAAGCACCACCCAUUUCAUCCACUAGGUUGGCCACCGCCCCUGAUGCCAAAUUUCCAUUCCUAUCCUGAACGAAGACCCACAAAAAUAAAUAAAUAAAAUGACUGAAAAAGGUUCACAAAUUUUAGUCAAAAUUCAAAUAGAAAAUAAAAUACCUACAUAAUCAGUUGAAACUACUCAAAGAACUCAGCUGUAAUUUUGCUAAUAUCUCAAAAUACAGGGAACUUUACUUACGAUGAGGCGAGAAGGGACUUUGAAAGUGCAAGAAACGUAGCCAGCUUCGACUCGGUCGACUCGGAUACCGCGAAGGGCGUAAUACUCGUAGAAGCUAGAAUCGAGAUGGGGUCGGUGAGGAGGGAAGGUGAGUUGGGAUACGCGGUCGGACUCUUCCUUGGCUAGCUGAAGAGAUUCCCUGGCGUUCUCCAUUUUGGGUCCUAUCUGAGCUCUGGCAGGAGUAUGGCAUACGAGUCCAUGAUUGUCUUCAAUAUAACGCAAUCACCCGAUUUGCUAGUCAAGGCCGUCCGAAGGCGCCGUUUGGAUUGAGGAAAAUAAAACGAAAUGAAGGGAAUGGGCAUCAGUGGGAAAAAAAAAAGGGUACAGGAAAGCCGUUUCUGGCUAAUAAAUGAAAGAAAUUGUAAAGUUUUUGCUUAGAUUAAGGAAGAAACGAAAAGAAAGAAAAACAUCAACUGUUACCGAACACAAAACUAUAUCCCAACAAAAUAAUUAGACUAUUUCCCUCCUCAGAAAUCAACAUAAAUUAAAAAAAAGAAAAGAAAAAACUAAUCCCCUCCAAUUCCUUUCGUUUUCUUUCCCUCCCAUUACCUCAAUCGAGAUUAUGCCAAAGUUUACAAGGUUUCUAGAAUUAUAAAAAACGAUGUUAUAAAAACAGAUUGACGGAUUGCAUCCUUCACGUGGUGUAUUGCUAAUUAAUCAUUUAAUAGUGAUUAGUCGUUGACAGACUAUUGAUAUUAGUAAUGUAUAUUGAACAUCUAAAAUUUUCCCUCUUAUUCAAUAUUUUUAUUUAUUAUUGGAUUAACUUUUUAUGUACUGACGGUUUAGUAAAAUUUUUUUUACACCAACGAAUAUGAAUGUAUAUCAUAUGUGCAUUAUUUGAAUUUUAAAAUUGAAUUCAUUAGCAUUUGACAUGUUUAAACCUACUAGUGUAAAAAAAAAAAUUGUACACCGAUAAUAUACGAAAAACUUUUACUCUUUUAUAUUUUUCCGAUUUGUUGGUUUUUCGACAUUAGUUGACCCUAUCAUUGGACAACACAGUUUCUACGUUGUCUCUCCCACUCUUCUCUUUUCAUCCCCAAAUAUCUUAUCCAUUUUUUUCCCAUUCAACCGCUUAGCCAAGUAAUUAAAAGUGCCAAUUUUCUAUGGGUCUGUCAAACAAGGGAGUAGGCAUUGGUUAAGAGAGAAUUUAUUUGUUGAUAUUUUAAUGUAACAUAAUAAUUAUUAGUAUGUGUAUUUAUAUAUGAUAAAUUAAAUAUAAUUUAAGUGUACUAACAAAUGCUACAUUAGAAAAAUCCGUCUUUUAUUUCUUUCCCUCUCUAGUGUUGUUAAGGUUGGUGUAAAUAAUAUAAUGGAUGGGAUGAAUAUCUGUGGUUUUUUUCCUAAGAAAAAAGCCAAUAUUAUUGGCAUCAAUAUUCCCCCUCCAACUCUUGACCGGUUUUAAAGUAGUACUACUUCUUUACCCAUAAAUUCUAGCUAAAGCUAUCUUCCCACAUUUCGUUGAUGUGGACCAAAGGUUAAGUUGUCCUUAAUAUCAAAUAUUAAUUAAAAGGAUUAAAAGAGGGAAGGUAGAGACAGGUGAGUUGUUGGGUGGUAUGCUGAGAACAUUAAUUACUCGUUGCGAAAUGUUAGCCAAGCAAUAAAUCAAGGAGAAGUUUCUGUUUCCCAAAAAGAAAAGGAAAACAUUAGUAAGACUAAACAGAGAUGAAUGUUAUUUGCACUCUAUUUUUUGUUAUUUGCAUUCUCAUAAUUUGUUUUAUAAUAUAGUUUAAUAAAUGAAAACUAUAUGAUAAAAAUAAUAGUGUAAAUGUGAUUAUCAAAAAUAAAUCAAGGGAAUUGAUGUUUCGAACUCCCUAUUUAGUUUCUUGCACUCCAAAUCACUCACUAAAAAUAGUCUUUAAAGAGUGCUAGAGGCUAAUUAAGAAGUGCAAAUAUUACUUUUCUAAAUCAAAGGUAUGUACUAUUUAAAAUGUAGUUUAGGUGUUAAAAUUUUGAAAAAAUAAAAUUAAUUAGAAUUAUGCACAAAAUGCAAGAGAGGAUGAUGAUUAUCGAUGCUUAUUCGCAUAAUUUGUUAAGUGUGAUUUAAAUGUAUUACUCCCUCCGUCCCACUUUGAUAGUCCUGUGUUCCUUUUUCAUCUGUUCUAAAUUGUAGUCAACUUUCCAAUUGAAGAAUGUAGUUGUAUUUUAAUUUUCCUAAAAUACCCUUAUUCAAUGUAAGUUGUCGUUACUAUAAACCUACCACAUUUAAUGAGAGUUGACUCUUUUUUUACCAUCAAUUCAAGUUCUCAUAAAAUUGUACUCUAUUUAAUGUGAUGAUAUUUUAGGAAAAUAGCAAUCUAAAUUUACUUUUCCAACAAAGUUAACUACUUUUUCUUAAAUUGUGUGAAAAAAGAAACAAGACUAUUAAAGUGGGACGGAGAGAGUAAUUAGUAUUCAAUAAACACUCAUUAGAAAAAUCUAUAAAAUCAAUACUUAAAAAAAAAAAAAAAAAAAUCAGUGUGCAAAUCCCAAGCCCCAAAGGCAGCACAAGGGAACCCCGGAUUGAGUGAGUGAGGGUUUAUCGAAGGAAAGGCCCAGCGUCUGUCUGUUCACACUUAGUCAUCCAUUCGUCUUCGGAUACCUUGUCUUGCAACUCUGCCAUUCUCGUUUUCUGCACUGUUACUUAUCACAGUACCACUACUGUCACCACACCUCUUAAUCUUGUUUUCUUCCAUACUUCUUCACACCAUUUCCGCCCCUGUUUGCAGCUCCACCUUCUAAAAAAUGAACCCAUUUCGGAUCACCCAUUUCCAAAUCCAAUGACUCGUAAUAAACCCGAAUUUCAAGCCCAUCCACCUCGUACCCGCCGCCUUUCCUCAUGUCACCUCCACCCGGCUGAUCCGGCCACCGGCAUUUGCGCUUCUUGCUUACGCGAGCGCCUCUGCGGCCUCGACUCUUCCGCUGACCUCCUCGAACCCUCUUUUUCUGCUGCAGUCAUCCCGUCUCUCGGCAAUGGCGACCUCGCCGGAGCUGGACCAGUUAAUUGCCUGAACAAAGCUGCAGCCGCCACGUCGUCUCCGGAGUUGCGCCGUUGUAGGUCUGUUUUUACUGCUAAAUGCGAAGCUUCCACCAGCUUCGCCGAGCCCAGGCGCAGGUCCUGCGACGUUAGGGCUCGAAACGUGAAAAGUCUGGCCCAUCUGUUUGAUGUGGACGAUGAAUGUAGUAAUGGAUCUAACAGGGAGUCCAAGGUUGAAUCCAAGAAUAUUACCACGGCUGCUGCUGCUGAGUUCGGAGAAGAAAUUAAAGUAGAAAAUGCAGGAGGAAACAGGGAUCCCCAUGUUGCAUUCAAUGGGGACGAGGAGGAGGAGAAGGAGGAUGAUUUGGAAGAAGGAGAGGUCAAGACGAUGAAAGAACACAUAGAUCUAGAACUGCAGAGCAAGGGCCAGAGGUCGAAAGAUUUUAAGGAAUUAGCUGGAAAUAUAAGGGAGGCAGCUUCUGUUUUCAGCAAGAAAUUGCAAAAAUGGAAGCAGAAGCAGAAGAAAAAGGUUCUUUAUAGCAAUGAUGGAGGCACUGUUGAUGGGAUUAAUUGUGAAGUAAAUGGUCCAAAAGGGAAGAAAUUGGAGGAAACUCAGUCUGUGGCUGCGGAUUAUGCAAUGGGCAGGAGAUCUUGUGAUACAGAGCCUAGGUUUUCUGUUGAUGCUGGGAGAUUGUCUGUGGAGGGCGGGCGCUUUUCGAUUGAUGAGCCGAGAGCUUCUUGGGAUGGGUAUUUGAUCGCUAGGACUAUUCCCAGGCUUGCUCCGAUGUUGUCAGUUGUGGACAAUGCGAUUUUAAGUGGCGGAAAUAGGAUUGAUCAUCAUAGAGUAUCUGUUGACGGGCAAAUGCAUUCGAUAAUGGAAGAUGAGACCAGUUCUGGAGGGUCAGCUCAGUCUAAUUCGGAUUCCUCGUCUUCUCAAAGGCGAAGUAGUUUUGAUAGGUCAAGCUCUGUUAGGAGUUUUGGGAAGAAGAUGGCGGUAUUGGAUGGGGAUUAUGCGAAGGCCUCUCCUGGAAGGCUGGUAAUUACGGAGAGGGAAUUGAAAGAUUGGCAUUUGAAUUCGAUCAAAGAUGAUCACAAGAAGAAAUUUGAAUCUUCUUCCAGGGAGAACUCUCCUGCUCUUGAAGAUAGAAGUAAUUUGGGGUCAAAGAAGCCUGUUAGGUGGCGAAGGGUGUUGAACGUGUUUGGUUUCAAGCAAAAGUCCUGUGAAAACAAGUUUGAAAAACCAAUGGGGGAUUGUUCACCUGCUCAGGCUUGUGAGAAGCAAGAAAAGGAGGCUGGUGAAGAAAUCAAAGCUGCCACUCAUUGGAAGCUUAUGAGGAGCAGUAGCAUUGUUGGUGCAAGACGUUCUUGUGAGGUGAUCAGGUCAAGUAAUGGUAUGAUGAGUCUUGGUGAUGAUUCUGACUGGGCCAACAGGAGCCGGGAAGAAUUUGUGCUGGGACGAAAUCACCGAGCUACAUAUGCUUCAAGCAAUUUGGAUGAUGGUGUUUUACCAUUUUAUUUGACACCCUUGAGGACUUCCAGGAACGGGAAAUCGAGAAGGGACAAGCUGCAAGACUCACAUUUUGUUGAUGGGAGUCUUUUACGGCUCAACUGAAUAUUAAAAUUUCUGAGUGCGCAUUGAGUUAAUACUAUGACUUUGUAAGGAUUACUAGUUGUUUCUCUUCUUGUUUAUGGGUGAUAGCAAGGCAGGACCAGCAUGUUGUAACUCUACUGUUUUUAGGCAGUAUCCAUGACAUAAUAAUACGAGUUACAGCAUUUUUGUGUCUUGGUUUUCCACAUGUUUGUUCCUUUUCAUUGUUGGGCUCUUAUUAUGCCUAAGAAAUAGUGAAAGUUACCAGCAGCAAUAUGUGCUUUGAUGACAUUUGUUAUUGUGUAAGAAUUACUCGGUACUAUAGAUAUCUAAAGUGCUCUUAUCAGCAGCCUCCGAUCCCCAAUUAUGGUGGCGCAAAUUUCCGGAGAAGUGCAGGUUCAGUGGCUUAUUCAGCCCCCUACUAUAUUGCAUCCCCCAUACUAAUGAAAAUUUUGCUUUCGAGGACAAAUUACAAUAGGCAUUUAUACAGAUGGAUUAAAAAAAUGUAGAUCUAGUGGAGGCGCGAGACUCGACUCAAAUAAAGAUUCGCAAUUUGCGCUUCUUGGCACCGGUUCUAAUGAAAAUCCAACUUGUUCUCCCCCAUACUAAUGAAUGAGAGUCAGAUAUAGCUUUCGAAAUUAAGCCUUUAAAAUGGCACAAUCGCCUUUCAGCUGAGACAUCAAAACGCACAACAACAAACAAGUUGAUAGAUAUGAAUGAACUUUACAUGCCUUCAAGAAAACUGAGUUUGGAAAACCUAGUCCUGCUUCAGCUAUUAUACUAUCUACAAACAAAGGAUGAACUCCACACACAAGGGCAUGGGGUGUCAUAAGAUCAGAAAGUUGCUUAUUGCAGCAUCAUCUUCGACCCAUCAGGUAUUUGGUCUUCACAUAUUUGGAAAUACUUGAGGUAACAUGAUUGGCCUGGAGCCGCUUUCUAGAUCCCUUGGCAGGAGGAGUCUCUUCCGAUUCAUCAUCUGUGUCAAUCCUUGAAGAGCCCAACCUGGUUUGUUUAGCUAUUCGCCGUAGAAUAUGUACAUUUAAGUAGUAAUUUACUAUUGUCUCUCUGCUUUGACAAGGUAAGUACUCAAGGGCGGAAUUGAUUAAACUCUGACCAAAAGAUUUGGCAUGUAUUCUCACAACAUCCUUGAACUUCUUCUGUUCUUCCAAAGUCCAUAACUUGGAAACAUCUUCUCCCAUGCUUUCAAAUUUCCAUUGCCAAAAGGCAGGCCCCAGAUCAGAUUGCAGCUGGAUUUUCUUAGCAUUGAUGUGCUGUCUAACGCAUUCAACAGAUCCAGGGGAUACACAUGAACAAGACUUGGGUCUUCCUUUUCCGAUCACAUCUCCAGAGACUUCCAGGCUUCUGCCUUUAGUUGGCCAUACCUUGAUGCUUAACCACUUUGAACUGCGAGAUUUCCUGUGCAUGUUGUGCUGACCAUUCUUGUGUAGGGAAACAGGCAAAGCUGGCAGAUCAGCCUGAAAACGAGGUCCGACUGGAAUUGCGAGUCUGAGACUAUCAUCACAUAUGUACUCUAUCCAACCUUUAGGAACUGGAUCGUUCUCCUUCUGGAUAUGGAGUUCCUUUGAGGGCUUCAUUUCUUCGUCCUUCUGAAGACAAUCAACAAUGAGAAAAAUGCUCCAAAGGGACUGGCAAUCUCAAGUACUUUGUAGGUGUAGGUACACAAGCAAAUAGAUGCAAGAUGCUUGAUACUGCUAAGCACGUUCGUUAGUCUAGAUAAAAUAGGACAAUGCACAAGAUGAACUCCAACGAAUUGCUAAUUUGAACUAUAGAAUUCAUGAAAAGAAUUGUGCAAGACUCAGUGCAUUCAUGCAAUAAAAGACACAUCAAGCACCAUCACCUGUCAUUAUUUUUAACCAGUAAAGCAAGGGGAAGGAACCUGUUCAAGAUGGAGAAGAUGAUAUUAGCAAGCGAAUAGCUUCUUCGGAUUGCACGAUUCCACUCUCCCAAUACUGUGUGCUGGGGGAGGCUGUAAUGCUAUUGAUUAAAAUUGAUUUUAUGUCAUCGUAGGCCGCUAAAUUGUACAGAAAAGAAAUACUACUAUCAGUUAGCAAAUACUACAUGCAGACAACAGUUUUCAAAAGCACCUCAAAGACACAGAGCUAGCGAUUCAGCAAAAUAGCUUUGCCUUCCACCAAAAGAAGGCGUUGCUUUGCAUAAGCAAUUGAUUUUGGUGACGACAAUUCAUUGCUUCUCCUCCGAAAAAAAAAAGGAGAGAAAAUAGUUCAUUUAUCUUACAACACAAAAUUUCAAGAAGCCCACCAAGCUUGUACUCUGUUUAUGGAUUCCAGCCAAUAAACGGAGGCCAACAAGAUUCUAGCAUGAGAUUGAAAUUAUCUGUUACAAGAAUAUGCGGGGAAAUAAAUAAAAUCAAAUGAAAUAAAAAAAAACCUCCAUUUUGCUGGUAAUUGCCGUUUACGUUUAGAUGGUCGGAGCAAUCUUCAUUGAAAACAAGAGAAGCAAAAAUUUUGCUGAAUCGCUUAAGCUUCAAUCUACCCAUGCAUGAAUUGAAUAACACAUUUCUAGUGUUGCGAAUUCUACACAACUUGAAUUGAAUUCGAGUUAUCCAUUUACCGGUGCACCGGGAAUUAAUAUUCAAGAAAAUUUCUGAUAUAUGAAAUUAAACCCUAACCCUGGAUAUCGGCUAAACAGAGCGUCCGAACCGAUAUUAGAGGAAUUUAGGAUUCAAGAAGGAAUUGUAUUGUUUCAAUGAUUUUUUUUUGGGCUGUCAGACUGCAUAUUUUUUUCAUUUUGUUUUAAACGGAUAAAUAGUAUUUAGCAAAUUUCUUUAUUCUUAGACCAGAAAUAUCCGCAAAUAUUUCAGCUAAAAUCUCUAAAACGAAUAUCCAAGGAAGAAAAUUACCAACAAAAAAAUGGUUACUAGGAUUAACUAAUUUUGAGUCAUAGAAAUUAAUUUUUUAAUUUAUAUCCAAAAAAAUUGGGAAUUUUUAUUUGUAAAACUUAAAUUCUUUUGGGAGAGGGAAAUGGAAUGCAAAUUAUGGUAAAAUGAUUGAAAGUAUAACAAAUACCUAAAAAAAAAUACCAAUAGAUAAGCCUCUUCUAAUGCUUUGAUCUUCUUCGACAAUUUUUAGUAAGAAACAAUUGCCUGUCUUAUGCCUCUGAUUCUUGCUAUUAAAGAUGAUACAACAACAAAUAAAUGAAGACAACUAUAAUGUGAAGGAAAAAGGUGACAAAUAGCUUUUGGAGAAAAGGAAAUUGACUAGUAUAGUACUUUUCCAAAGAGUCCCUAUAAAGAAUGGAGUUUGGGAACACACACCUAUAUUGUUAUGGAGAGGUUGAACACUUAAAGAUGCAUGUUGCUCUUCUCAAGCAUAGCCCUUGCAAUAUAACAAAUGAGAGUUGUGGGAAGCUAGUUGACACAAUAUAUAGGUGGCAAGUGAGGACUUGCAUCAUCCCUCAAAGCCAAUCAACUCAAUUCUCAGGCUUUAAUAGUUCAUUUGAAUUACUAAAUGAGAUGGUAGCCCAUUAAAGAAGGGCCUUUAGAUUUACAUAGAUCCGAUCUAGAGACCUACUUAUAGACCGUGUAAUUUAAGAGAAAUUCACCUAUAAGAAGUGAUUUAAAAUCACGAUAUUUUAAAUAAUAGAUGCAAAUAUAAAAUUUCUAAAAUCAAGAAGAUGAGCUAUCUUUAGUUUAUGACUGUCGCUUAAAUAGGACUUUCCAAUCGAAUAGCAUAUGGUCACAGUGAUGUAUGACAAUGUAAGAAAAGUGAUAGUAAAUAUUAAAGUCUGUCUAAUGGGUGCUUAUAUCACUAAUAUUAUUUUGAAAAUUACAUACAUUAUACAAAUCAAAAUUGUCAUUGGAUAUAGGAUUUUAAAAUCUAUAAAUAAGAUAUCGAUGUAUAUCCCUAAAAUUUUAGGUAAGAGAGAAAAUAAUAGUAGGUUUUGGAGGUUAAGCAAGUAAUAUAAUACAAAAAUCCAAUUGAUUUUUUUUUAUUAUAAAAAGCAGACUUCAUUAACAAAUUAUUGAAAAUCGUCCAGCGUGAUUUGAUCUAUAUCUCUACCCUAAUGGUAGGUUAAACAUAAAAAUUACAAAUCUGCAUUUUAACAAAUGCAAUAGAUCCAAAAAAAUUAUGAACAAAUCUAAAAAAUAAAAGAAAUUUCAAAAUUGUCUCUAACAGAUAAAUCACUGUAGCUCCCUACUAUGUAUAUUCCAAUCACUGGGUUUAUUAAUCAAUGAUUUUAAACUCUAAUAAUAUGAUGCGAUCUGUCGAAUUAGAUCCAAAAUUCCAAAAAUAUUUCAGAUUUGACGACCAAAUCUGAAGUAAAUUAAGAUCUAAAAAUAAAAAAAAAGAAGAAAAACACAAAAAUCUCCAUAGUAAUCUAUAGGAGAAUAGAAAAUUCUCACUUAGAAUUUCUAGGAGAAAUAGAAAAGCUUCAUUAAAAAAAAAUUCAGGAAAGAGUUUAUUAGAAAAACAAAACAAAACAAAAUGAAAUUCAUGGGAAGGAGACCAUCACGUGAUCUCCCUCCCUAAGGGAAUGUGUUUUAAGAGAGGAGGGGAAAUUGGGAAAAGUUGAAGAAGAGGAGAGGUAGAAAGAAAAGGGUUGAUUUCUGAUAAGAUAAACAGGUUUGCAAAAAUCCAAUUGAUGGUUGAGGAUUGUAUAUAAAAUUUCCAAACUAAGAAGAUGGGGGAAGGUUAAGUUGGGUGGUAAAACGGAAAAGAUUGUAAAUAUAAGGUUCUAAAUUCAAAAUCACAUUUUAAAAAAAAAUAAAAUAGAAACUAGGAAGAUAACUGAAUAAUCUUUCCCAAUCACUUAUAUAUUAGCAAAAUGAUAAGAAUAAAAGAAAAUUUAAAAGUACCCGUUUUCCAUGGGUUCUUCCAUUGAUGGGCUCAGUGUCUAUAGAAUAAAUUUUCUUCGCUAAAUUGCCUUUUCUUUUUUGCUUUUGAUCCAUCGCCAAAAUGAAAUUGUGCUGCAUAAUAUGCAUGGAGUGGGUCAAAUUAAAUGAGUUGGUAUAUUGAGUAGCUCGAUAAUUAUUCGAUGUCUCUUUUUUCUAUUAAAGGAGAUGGUCAAGUCUGCAUUCCAUCAUACUAAUAUUUAUUUUUAGUACAACAUUGUUACAAUUAAUACUAUAAUGGAAAAAGAAGACGGAGAUGAACCUAUCUAAUUUAUUAAAAUGCUUUAUGAGAGUUAAAUAACUUUCGAUCAUAUGCCAAAAAAUUCUGAAAAGGAAACACAAUUAGAGGGUUUGACCCCUAAUCUUCGCCCACGGGGCAUGGAGGGACUUACUUAGUCCCUCUUCUGGUGGCCAUACCAAUCAAUGUACCUACUAAUCAAGACAUCAAAAGAAAGGUGGGGAAGAAGGAUAUUGUCUUUGACAAAAGGCGCCAAAUUAAGUGCGUGAAUGCGCAGGAAAAUGAUUCAUGGUAAUGUUUGCUAUUUAGUUUAUUUUACAAUUAUAUUUUUUUCUUACAUGGACUUACCAAGAGUGAUCAUUCUUGAGGUAAAAAGACAAUAGCAAUACGCUUUCAAAUGUCAAAGGGAAGGAAGGUAAAAAAAGACGACGUUGUGUUUGUCGAAAUUAAAACACUUGUUGGUAAUAUUAAUACGUGUCACUCAAGUAAUUUAGUUUUUCUUAUACGGAAUUCACAUAAAAUUGUCAUUCUUGAAUCAAAAGCAAAGUAGGAAUUGGUUUGUAAAAUUAAAAAAAAAAUAUAGGGAAUUAAAUCUGUGUAAAUUUAAAUAUUUAAUUGAUUAACAGGGAUGAUAUUUUGGACCUAUAUAAAUUUCACCUCAUUGAAUAAAUCUGAGAAACUUUCUAAGCCAAUAUACAGAUUGGAAGCCAAUUCACUAAAUGAAGAUCUAUUAACCACAACCAACCAAAAGAUCCAUGGAAAACUGUAGGGCACAACGUUUAUUGUGCUCAAAUCUGAUGACUUAAGAGGGUUUUUGGAGCUAGUCACUAUACUUUUAUACGGUUUAAUUAGUUAAACCUAUCAUGGUAGUUGUGGAUUCUACUCAAAAUUUAUUUAUCAUGAUCAGAUUUAAUUUAUGCCUCAUAUUGUUUACAUUUCAGAUUAUGUACUGUACUGACUAAUUGGACUAUUGAACAAAGAAAUACUCUUUCUCUCAGACUUGACACUAACAUGUCAAGCGAGAACCAAACCCCUAAUAAAGCCUCUUAUCAACUUCUGACUCGACCAUGAAUCAGUUCGGAACCAACCAAAAUUCAUCCAAUUGGAUCACUCAACAACUAUACGAGUAAUAUAUUCUGGGCAUUUAGAUAAUUCUUCUAUAUAUCCUUGGAAUAUAUUCUGGGCAUUCUAUUAAAGCACAAGGUAUCAUCCAAAGAUUGCUAGAAAUGAAAAGUACUAAAACACGUACCAGCAAAGCAGCUACAUAAGAUUUACAUUUCCUGGACCAAUGCCGUAACAAGUACAACAACUCUAGUAAUAACAAUUCCGGUACUUCUCCUGAAUUGGCAAGAUCAGCUGCACCAAUUGCACCCUUGUGUCAAAGUCCAUGUGCCACUACUUCUCUUCUUUGCUAUGAGAAUAUGGGCAGUUGUAUGACAUUCUGUCUAUAUACUACAAUACAAGAAAAGUAUACUCCAAACUAAGUAUCCAGUUUCCAGCCUGUUAUGUGCGAAACCACUCGGAGGAUUGUUCCCUGCCUCGUGAGUUUCAUCGCUUCCCUGUCAAGUACUUAUUCUGGGUACCAUUAGCCUUGGAGGUUUCUCCAAUAACCUCGUCAUCAUCAUCGUCUGUGUCAAUUUCAGCCGCAGUACGGUUCAACCUGGUUCUCUUGCGAAUUCUCCAGCUGGGAAGGUAAAAAUUAAAGUAGUAGCUGACUAUGCUUGCUCUACUUUUGUUGGGCAGAAAUUGACUGGCCAGCUGCAGAAAAGUUUUACGCGUUGAUGAGGGAAGGUUCCUUUUCUUCAUCACAGAGUUGAACCUAAGCAUAUCCCCUAAAGUCCAGGAAUCAGUAGAAUCUUCUCCCAUCUCAUCAAAUUUCCAGGUUUGAAAAGCAGGCCCCAAUUCAGCCUUCAGUUUUCCUCUUUCCUCCACCAUAUGACGAUGAACACAGUCAACAGAUCCAGGCAUUUGGCAAUUACAAGCAUCCCCCUCGUGCGUCGAACUGUUGUUCGUCUCUUGGCUAGGUUGGUUUGGUUCAUUUCUUGACCAUAUCUUCGUACCAAACCACUUUCGAUUGUUUGGGUUGCUGGCGUACUGGUCCUUAGUGGACAAGAUAGGCAAAUAAGCUUGAAAUGGAUCUUUUUUGGGGAUUUCCUCGUACUCUGAUUCGUUAGCUACCUCCGGGAUUACCUUUGGACCUCCUGAUUCAUUCCUAAUAUAAGGGACUACCCCCCGCUCUUGCUGAAUAAAAUUUAUCCAAUCCCUUUUGCACUCCUUGGGGUUCUCAACUUUGAGUAGUCGCUUUCGCUUCUGUUUACUUGACAUGCUGGUCAUUUCAAGUCACCAACGAGGGUGUGAGACAUAGAGAUGUUCCAAUUAGAUCCGUGCGGUUGGAUAUGAAUCAAAAUAUUGUAAUUCGUAGUUCUGACGAAUGUACCUGAUGAAGUCCAGGAGAUGAAAGACUGAAUUGGUUCAGAUGGCAAAAGUUAUUGGAUCCUGGUAUUCUGCGUACAAGACGACAGAAACAUAGGAAAAGAAUAAAGGAUUAGCAAUGUUCUACAGACUUGCGAAGGAGGACAAAGCAAAACGUACAGGAGAUGUAAGACACAUGAUAUUCAUGGAAAAAAGUCGCAAGUAAAUGCAUAUUUUGCUUGCAUGUCGAUUAAUUUGACAUGUCAACGUGUACAUCAGCACUCGAUUCUUGCUCCCUAAGUAAGAGCGUUCUAAUCUCUGAAUAUUAUGCAAAGGAAAACAAUAAUUUCUUAAGAAAUUCUGUAAGUCUGAUGACCGAAAGUUACAAUAAAAUUAUAAUGCUCAAUAUGAUAGCAACUGCAAUCUAGGAAAUGGACCAUAUGAAGAAGACGAAGGAGUACAUUUCUUCAACUUUCAAUAGUUAUAUCUCCAAAAAAUAAACAUAAAAAAAAAGAAAAUUUCAGUAAUUAGAAAAUUAAAAUUGACCGAAGUGCCUUUGAUCCAAAAAUUCAAUCAUGCAAACCAAACUAGAAGAACAUACAUUUAUAAUAUGGUAAUUCAGUUACCAAAUCUAACACAUUUUAGGUUGUGAUUUUUUUCAGAAAAAAUUCAAGAAUAAGAAAAUCUUGCAAGCCCGCUAAGGAAACCUUGUACUCCAUCUAUUUUUCUCGUCUCUACCAUUAUAUAAUAGAGUGUGUUUGGAUUGUAAAUUAUUUGAGAUAUUUUUAAUGUAAUAUUUUUUGUGAUGUGAUGUAUGUGAGAUAAAAAAGUAAUUGAGAAGAUCAAAAAGUGUAUUAAAAAUUGUAAUGGUGAUAUAAGUAAAUAAAUUUGAACAAAUAAUCUCCCGACCAAACACACUAAGAUUCGUUCCUGCUCUGCAAAAGUCAUCCGAAACUCAAGGCUAAUUUUGGCAUUUUAUUGGUUGAACCAGCUCCAAGUACAACCCUAUAUUGUAUAUUCCGCAGGCCGCAAAGUAUAGAGCUGUAAUCCAAGUAAAUAAAACAAGAAAAGUUUAUAUUAAAAAAAAAGAAAAGGAACGGUGAUAAAUUUUGUUUUUCCUCUUUCUUUUCUCGAGCCCGCCAUUUUUCAAAUUCAAUAUCGAAACAAAAAUACAAAAAAGAUAAUCGAGAGAGUUCUCCGAGUCGUUUCAACCAAAUAUUACCCGACAUUAACGAAAAUACCAGCAGAAAGAAAUAUUACCUCUCCAAUACAAACAGAAACCUUUCGCCUGAGAAUAGUCUGCGGGUUCUGCAAUGAAGAAUGGUAAUAGCCCAGUUCCUCUGUAAUGUCGUUGAAAUCUGACGUUCUCCUCUUACUUGUUGUCUUUACCUCUGUUUUACAGCUGGAAUCUGACUGUUAUAAUUCGUUUUUAGCGUCUGUGGUAGAUUUCUGAUCUCGUUCUCUCCUCCGAAAACGCAAAUCUUCAGAAGAAGAUGAUUCGGUUCUCUGAGUUGAAGAUUCAAUGCAAAAGAAUCAGAUAUAAUAUCGAUUCCCAUUCAAGAUAUAGCAGGUUCUCUAUUAGAUUAUGAUUUUUCAGCUGUUUUCUCCAAAGAGAUGAAGAAACUCAAGGCCCUAACCGCAAAUUUAUUGCGAUUUCAUGACUUUCUGAUCGAUGAAAUCUCCAUAUGAGAAUCGAAUGAGUCGUUGUCUUGAAAUUGUUAUGAUCACGAUAUUCAAGAAAAUAACCGAGUUUUCAGAUAAUUUUCGUAAAGUUUGAGGGUUGAGGAAAAUUUUUGAGCAAUUAAAAGAUGCAGAAGAUAAAAGAGUAGAAGUAAAAUGUAUUUUAAUGGAAGGUUAAAUUAAAGGAAAAAUUGGCUUACCUUAUUUAUAUGUGACGCAGGGGAUUCCCUUGCGCUCGCUCCCGCUUACGCUUAGUUUGAUUCAUAUAGCUUUAGUUUGAUUCAUAUAGCUUGUUGACGACGAAUCAAUACUUAAUGAGCUAAUGCUGUGGGUAAUUGUGAAAUAAUAAAAUAAAGUCGUAAAUAUUGUCCUAUUUAUGGACUAUAUGAUUUACUUGUUUCAGUCAAUCAAAAGACACCUGCAAAUGAUUUAUGAACUGUAUGAUUUACUUGUUUCGAAGAGUCAAAAGACACCUGCAAAUGGCACUGCUUUAAAAGAGAGAUGUUAAUGACAUUUCUUUAUUUGUUAAUGACAAUCUAUUUGACCUUUUCAGCGUGUCAAUUGAAAAUUUUUUAUUGAAUUUGCAAUGCAUCUUGUUUUUAUCAUGAGAAUGUUUAACUUGUCAUUAGAACAGCAAUGUAAAUCAAAUCGUAUUAGACGAUUUUCAGUAAUUCAUUAAUGAAAUUUGCUUUUUAUCAAAAAAAAAUCUGAAAAAAAUCAAGAGGAGUGUCAUUUUAAAAGCACUAUCAUUUGCAUAUCUACGAGUCCAUUAAUAAACCCGAUGAUAUAUCCAAGUGCCUUGUGGUCAUUGUGAUUUAUAUAAUGAUGCGUAGAAAUUAGCGAGUGAAAUAAGAAAAUCAGCCUGAGUAUAGCACAUAUUUACCCGAGUACACCACCUGCCAACCUGUAAGUAUUUCCUUUCUUUGGAUAGGUUUUUUCAACAUACCAAAUGCACUUAUCAUGAAGUAUGAAUCUUCUAUACCAAACAGCGAUUUGGAUUAUCUGCUUGUAUUGCCUCACAUCCCAUUUCAAUCACACUAAUGUUGAGAACUUAUUUCCUGUUUGGAGUUGGAUGAGAAGGAUUGAAGAUCAAUAGGAGGGGUAAAAUAAUACACGAAUAGUUUGAUGGGAUAAGGCUAUGAAUUAGAAUGUAUCACCACUUAGGAUCCGGUUCAUUGCGGUUGUCGCAGAGGGCAUUUGAUGGCUAGCCUGAUUCGAGCUGUCAAAUGCAUGGUGCGAUUGCUCCUGCAACUGCACAAAUCCUAUUACUUAUCGACCACAAUGAGCUCAACUUAUGCAUAUGCUAGAAUUGGGCAAGGUUUUCUUAUGUAGGAUGGAGGACACGCAAAAGAAAUGAAGCAUUAGGGAAACUCGUAAUGCUCUUUGGUGCCCAAAUAAUUCUUGUGCACGGCCAUAUAUGUACGCAAAGAUGCUAUGCAUAAUUCAUAUUCAGUCGAAUGCAGUAGUCUGGGACAAUCUUAUCACAAGCACGAAAUACUCAAAUCGAGCAAAUAAAGCUUCAAUGAACACAAUUGUAAUUCAAAUUCAAGGCUUCAAGCAGCGUUUUCUUGAGGAGCAUUGGCUGAAAACAUAGGACUUUUCAAAUAUGUAAAAUGAGCAAUGCCACAGGCAAUAAUUACUCAACAUCAAAGCCUUUUUGCUGAAGCUCAGAUACGACUUCAUUCUUCAUCCUCAUCCACAGCUUAAAAGCCUCCUGCUCAAACUUCUUGUCCUGCAAAUUCUUUUGAAAAUUGAUCGAAUCUUUAUCUGUUUCGAUGAUGCCUUUCGGCCCAAUUGUAGUUCCAAUCAUCCCACCCUUAGCAAUGAACUCCUCCAUUGCCUCCUUGUCACCUGGAUAUGGAAAAUUUGGGCGCUCGUAGAGAUGGGCUAGCUCCUGUUCCUCCUUAGGCUGGGGCUUUAAAGUCCACCAGCCAAGCGGUGACGUCUCGUUCCACAGCCAAGCUACGCCAAAAAGCGUGUAGGUGCACAACAAUGCCUUGCCUAUUUGCUUCCAGAAGUGAUAGUCUUCUUUUCCUAGCCCAACUUUCUUCAAAAAGUUCUCGGCGUAAAACAGACCUGAAAGAGAUUCAUGCAUAGAUUAGAAGUAUGCAGCCAAUUGGUUGAGGCUUUUCGUCGAACGACUUGUGUCAAUUACCCAUGUACACUGACAGAUAAUAAAUGAAACCAUAGAAAUAAGCAGGAACUUAUACCUGCUUCAUUUUUUAAAAAUAUCUUGGUACCGAAAGAGAAUUGGCACGAAAAUUUGCAUUUUACCUGUUCUCGUGUCCUGAAAUCGUUUGCGAACCAUUGAUGAAAGAGCUCGAGAAAGAGAGCGUCGGGGUGUUCAGGAGCGAAAGCUGAAUAAUGCAACUGGUAUAUACGGUCGGUCUGCUUUUGGGUUUCGUGGGUAAGAGUCUAGUGAGUAUCUUUUUUUUUUUUUUUUUCGACACAGGGAUGUCCAGGUCAAUUCUUACGGGGCCCGACUAAUCCCCUGCGACCCGGACCCGGCGCUCCAACCCGGCCCGAACGCGUUAAGUGCACGGAGGAAUCCAGCGGAGCGGAGACUUAAACUUGUGACCUCAAGGUUCACUGGUGAGAGGCGCUGCCGCUGGACCAUUCACGCGGGGGCUGUCUAGUGAGUAUCUAGCCUAUCAAUAUUUUAAGAUUGUCAGAAAUUAAUUAGGUCUUUCAGGAUAGAAUUGGUCUAGAAAUUUUUAUUUUUAUUAUUUUUUAAAAAUGGUCAUGAAUAAUUUCAUUUCAAAGCAGCGCCUAAUUACCUCAAGAAUCUUGAAAGUCACGUCCAAAAAACCACGUAAUCAGUGAAUCUUUAUUCAUAUACCUCAAGUCUUAACGUACUUUUGUUAGCCCUAUAUCAUUGUUUUUAUUUUUUUAAUUCCAAAAUCACUGGGUUACGGCCUUGACGACCUUCAAAGAUGUGUGUUGCUUAAGGAAUAAGUGAGGAGUAGAACCUUGUUUUUUUUUUCCCUAACGAUAACAGUUAAGCAGGAAACUUUUGACUUGGACCAUUUAAUGUAGUAAAAACAAGCUAAAAGUCUACUUUGACCCAACCACUUGUUUUACAUCAUAUAUUGCCAUGCAAACCUGUCAAGAAAUUGCUGUAAUCUUGUAAUUUGUGAUAUCCCAAUAAACUGUUUCAUCUAUGCAAACAAACAGUCAUUGAAGAACAUAUGUUUGAAAUUCUCAACAACUCUGACGGAUGCAUCUUUCUGCAGUGAGGAAACUUGCCACCUUGUAUACCUCAUCAGCGAAGAGUCCCAACUGGUUUUUUGUACGUGUACCACUUUGCAAUGAGGAUAUAAGCUCCCAAAUUCAGCACGCUUAGCACAGCCAAGAGCCAGAAGAAGUAAUCGGUGUGACCGCGAUUAAGAUUAUUCGGUAUCCAACCAGGUUUUCCAUUCUUUGUGCUAAUUCUUGUCACAAUGGUCACAAGCAAGGAACUCAAGUAGUUUCCCAAGGCAACUGUGGUCAGGGAGAGAGCAACACCCAAACUUCUCAUGGCAUCAGGUGCUUGCUCAUAGAAGAAUUCCAGCUGUCCAAUGAAUGUGAAAACUUCUGCACAACCUAUGAUGAAAUACUGAGGCACCUGCCAAAAUAUUGACAUGGGUAUCUCUUCAAGAUCAUAGGAGUUAUGUCUUUUCACAUAGCGUAAUCUAACAAGUUCCAAGAUCCCUGCUGAGAGCAUGGCAAAGAUCGAUAUGAGGAGCCCGAUUCCCAUUCUCUGAAGCUGAGUCAAGCCAUUUUUGUGACCUGUGAACUUUCUGGCAACCGGGACAAUAAUUCGGUCAUAAACAGGAACCCAGAAUAUGACACUCAGGGUGUCAAAAAUCCCAAGUGAUGCAGGCGGGAUUUGGAAGGUAGAAUGUCCCACAUAAGUAUUCAUCGUUUCUCCUUGUAAGACGAACAGGGUGCUCAUUUGACCAUACACACUGCUGAAGAUGAUACCUGUUGCCCAUAUAGGAAGCAAUCGUAUUAUGGCUUUUAGCUCCUCAACUUGAGUCACCGUACAAAGUCUCCAAGGAUCUACAGAGCCCCUUUUAUAGUCAGAUUCCCUCUCAACGGCUGCCUUGUCAAAGAAACUGUUUAGGAUAACAUUAUACAAUAUUUCAGUUUUGAAACAAUGCAAGGGGCAAGCAAGCAGUUGACACGGCAAAGGAGAUUGUUCAAGAUUAAAUCACGAAAGGCUUCAUUUCAGCCAUUGGUUUUGAAAGAACUGUAAAAGUACACAAGACGUGUUAACUGCAAAUAUAUUUCUUAUAUUACAUUUGAAGUGAUGAUUCCUAUAGAACUAUUCAAAAGAAGGUGUUAUGCCUUUGACCAAAUGAAUAAGGUGUUAUGCCUAAGCAGUGUCCGUUCCUUUCUUGUCAAGUUUCCGAGAGGUAGAGACUGUUUGUUUUUAGCCAUUAAAAGAAGAAGUUCUGAAACCUUAAAAAUGACUACCCAAUAAAAAUUCUUAAUUCUUUAGAAAAUUUGAGUAUGUGUGUAUAUAUAUAUAUGUUUAUAUAUAUACAUACAUAUAUAUAUGAAUAUAUAUAUAGGUUUAUAUAUAUACAUACAUAUGUAUAUGAAUAUAUAUGUGUGUAUGUAUGUAUAUAAUCAAUUUUUUCCCUGAAAAUUGCAUAGUUAUCCAACGUAACUCCACUUUUUCCAUUCAAUACUUCAAAAAAGUACCAUCAGAUAGAUGACUGGCUAAGAACCAUUUAAUGAUCCUUUGAAUAUCUUUUGAACUCAAUCUUGAAAGCAAGCAAAAAUUAUCAAUCAAGUUUAAAACCACGAGGUAGGCAGGAUGAUAUGGUGCUUACACAAGAUCACUAGUAUGCCCAAGCUUCCGACUUCCUUCUAUUGCAGAUUCAGUAUCUUUGCAUUCAUACAACAAAGACUUGUCUUCAGGCACUUCAACUUUAUACUUCUUGAAAGAUGCAACAAGCACUUGGCACAAGCGCGUCAAAGGGCUUCCUCCUGGUUUUUGGUUACGAUACAAUCGAGAACCUGAAAAGAAACUAACCGCAGCAAUUGCCAUUGUUACGGCUGGAAUGCCAAAUCCCCAUCCCCAACCCACAUUAUCUUGUACCCAGACCAGCACUGAUGAAGCAAUAAGUCCACCAAUGUUGAUUGAAAAAUAGAACCAAUUAAAGAAAGAAGCCUUGUGCUUCUUUUCAACCUCAUCUGUGUCAUCAAACUGAUCGGCUCCAUAGGAAGAUACACAAGGCUUUAUACCACCAGUUCCCAAUGCUAUGAGAUAAAGAGCUAAAAAGACAACAGAACUCUGUGUUCCUGUUGCAUGGCAAGAUUCCUUUCCAUGACAGGUUGGCUUCAGACCGGGGAUUGAGGCUGAUAAUGUCAACAAUGUCAUCCCCUGCACAUCAAAUGGUUAUCAUUUUUGAAGCUUGUUAACCAGAUCAGAAUGUAUUAAGAAGACUGGAAAUUUUGAAAUCAUUUAAAUUUUCUUUCUUAUAAAAUCUGUAUUUCUUUAUUAGAACAUUUCAUCUGUCUAAUUAUUGAACUAAACAUGGGUUAUUGUGCUUGCUGGAGUUUGAUGAUAAUUUACCAUGUAUAGAACUAAGAGAUUGCAUUUCUCUACAUUGAUGAUGUGGCCCAAAAUACACCAUGAAUCAAGGAUAGGCAGAAGUAGACCAGACAAGAAAUGGUUGUGCCCCAAGUUACUCCGCUUUAACGUUAACUUCUUACCUACGUGUACCAUGUAAUUUUAUCUAAUUUCUUUAGCGCGAGUCAUGCCUACCUAAGUUGCAAAAGAAUUUGUGCAUAUACAUUUCAGCCGAAAAAAGAUUACCAGAACAUAGAUGAUUGAGAAACAAGCAAUUGUCCAAAAUCUUCCAAGAUAUGCAUCUGCAAAAAAUGCUCCAAUUAAGGGUGUGAUAUAGCAUGUCCCAGACCAAUCAGAUACAUUUUUAGAAGCAGUGGCAUUGUGCUGUCCAAGUCGAUGCUUGAAAAAUAGCACCAGAUUAGAACUCAUUCCAUAAUAUGCCAAUCUUUCACAACAUUCAUUUCCUACAGUAAAAAUCAACAAAGGAGCAUAAGUUUUGCCUGAAAUAUCAAUCUUCACCUCUGAUAAACCUGAUGAAAAGCAAAUUAUUUUGGUACCUAAGAUGUAAGGACAGGCUCUCCAAGUCCCAGUUUCAUUUUUCUUGGCAGGAUUACCACGGCAGUCAACUGUCCCGUCCUUAGUAUACAAGUCAUCCUCUGCCAUAGCUUUCUGGAUACCAAUCCCUGCCACAAGAGUAGACUACUGCAAAGCUUUUGCAGCAGCAAAGCCAAGGCAGAACUCAAAGAUUACUUGAACCUGCAAAUUUGAUUGCAAGUAAUCAAAAUUUCUUCAGCUAAUUAGCAUAGUCCAAGUGGUGGUUAGAAGUCCCGCCUUUGUUGUUGGUACAACUGGCAAUAUAUUAGUAUUUAGUUUUUCAUACCAAAAAUUCUUAAGUAUAUGAACCAUUUAUAAAAAACAAAAGUCAUUAAUCUCCUGAACUGGGACUAUAUAGCAGCACCUAGACACACAGUAAUAGAAUAUUGAUGACAACUUAAGGUUUAUAAUUCUUUGAUUUAGUACGAUGUUACACUUCCCUUAGAACAAACUUUGUAUCUGUUUUUCUUUUUUUAAUUCAAUCUGCCAUUAAUUUGUGAGACCUCUUUUGCAGUACAUGAUAUCAUAGGCCCUUGUUUUUCUCAAGGAACCUCUUCCUAGUUAAAUACAAAUUCUAUACUCCAUUAUCCUCAACCUUAGAGAAAGCACGUUCCUUUCCAUUAACAUGUGGUACUAUGCAAAUUUUGAGCCUAAAUGUUGAUUCACUUCAUAAAUUUUUUAGAGUAAAUCUUUCCUACGUUGACGUAUACACUAUCAGCGUUGAAUUUAUGAUGUGUGCAAAAGUUGAAUUGCAAAUUCAAAUUUUGCAUAGUUAUCAUUCAUCCAACACUGACAGGUAGGAAAGAUUAAUCCAAUUUUUUAUUGAAAAACUUCAGAUCCCUCUCCAUACUCUUCUCCCUGAUCCCUCCUCUCUAUCUAUUCCUAACACUAGCCCUCUAUCCGCAAACUUCACUGACCUCUCUUUCCCCUACUCUGCAUCAUAAAAGCAAAAUAGUAGUAGUAUGUAUUUUCUGAUGGGCUAACCACUCUAAAACAAUCGAAUCCACUCAUUCAAUAGAUUCCGUAUUCGAAGCUCAAGUUAAGGCACAGAAGGUUCCAAUCAUGCAUCACAUAAGAACACUGAGAAUUAGCCAAUCAAGAAAUCAAAAGCCAUAAACAAAAAGAUUAGCUAAGAAUGAUGGCAAACAGAACGAAAAUCAAAAUACACACCUGAAGCUGGCGGGACUAGGCAGAGGAGAGCGUAUGCUCGGGGCAAUAAUCAGUCAGAUUUACGUAGCUGAGAAAAAGAGCCUUAGCCCAGAAAAGAUGAGGACAAGUGCGAAUAAGGUUGAUGAUUAAAAAUCAGUAAAACCCAAAGAUUGGACGUUUACUAGAAUGCAGAAUGAGAAUCAUGAGCGUCAACUUUUGGAGACAGUUGCGUCCUUGUCCCAACUCCAGUACUACUUGUGCUGAGCUACACAGUGACGGGAAUAGUCAACUGAAGCAUGGGGAGGAAAAGGAAUAGGAUGACUAGGGAAAAGCUACCCACUAGCAACAGCAUGCGCCCACAAAUGCUGGAAGAAUUUUCAGUUGUUUCAGGAUUCAUAUUUCCAAUUCAACGACUGAUACUGAAUUGGACUUGAAAGGUCCCUUGGGCCGGCGAGGCGGCUAUAGUACUGCUAGUGCCAGCUCACACUUUCCAUUAAUUGACCCUUUUACCCUUUACGGCGGUUUGGUCCAAAUGCUGCCACCUCCCUUCUCUUUUCUUUUCUUUUCAUUCUUUUUAGGUCGAGCGACUCUAGAUUUAUAUUUUGUUGUUGAGUUGAUCAAAUAUGUUUCAUAGAGCGUUUAAGAUUAGAUGUCCUCAAUUGGAUUUUAUUAGAGAGAUACAAUCAUGAAGAGAGAACGACUAGACAAUAAUAACGAGACAAUUGAUCUAUUUUUUUUUCGAGACUAAAUUAAAUUAACCAUUGUCAGCUAUUUCGAUGGAAUAGCUCCUACGUAACUGGUUUUGCAACGUCCAUGAAUUCUCUACUUCAUUUUUUUUUUUACUUGUAUCAGUGUCACGGAUUUGUUUCGGGAAAGAGAAGGAAGGGGGGGGCGGGGAGGGGGGAGGGAUAGAUUUGUCUUUAAAUAAGAUUGGAUUGAGAAGAUGACGUUAGCUCCAGCAAAAGAUGACAUUCCGCUGCCGGGAUUGUUAAGGAUUUGAUUAUCCUCAGUUGACUACAGCAGCCGCCAGCAGUUUGGAUUAAGGAUAAUAAUUGGAAAAAUGGUCAUCCAUUCAGACGGAGACGCUCAUCCAAUCCAAUUAUUAGUGUUUAAAAUUUACUCAAUUGUUUUGUGGGUUUUUUGCCCUAUUUUUUUUUUCCUACCAUAAAAUCACAAGAUAAUUCUUUUUUUAUUGUUGUGUUGAGUUGAUCAAAUAUAUUUCAUUGCACGCUCAAAAUUGGAUGUCCUCAAAUUAGAUUUUAUUGGAGAGAUAUAAAUAGUCAUGAAGUGGGAACGACCAGCAAAUAAUGACGAGACAUUUUUAUGGUCAUGGAUUUGUCUGCCCCAUACUUUAUUUUAAAGGGAUGUAUUUGUCUUUAAGUAAGAUGGGAUUGAGAAGAUGACGUUUGCUCCAGCAAAAGACAGAUUGAUAAGGAUUUGAUUAUUCUCAGUUGGCUGCAAAACUGAUAAUUGGAAAAAUGGUUAUCCACUCCAAUGAUUAAUUCACCAAUUAAAAAAAAAAAAAGGGUUAUGGCCAGUUUAGACGGAGACACUUGAAAAUUAUUUUAUCUAUCAAGGAUUGUUAGGAUCAAGUGACAAGCAACUUAAUAUCUCUUAAAUAAGGUCUGGAUUCGAGGUUAGUGGAUGAUGAAAAUCUCACAGCGAAUUUGUGUCUUCCUACGAUUCGUUCGUUUUUGACCUUUUUGACUUUUUCAUCUAUUAGUUCCUUCUGGCCUCAAACCAAGUGAUGACUUUUCUAUUCUCCUUUGUUUACUAGGAAUGGAAACGUUGGACGAAUCCCUGCUCGACGGGUGGGUCUUGCAGUCAAGCUCCCUUCUGCCUUUGCACUCGAGGGCCAAUCUCCGUCCGGCCCGAGGAAACCUUUGCACGCCUCCGUUACCUUUUGGGAGGCCUACGCCCCAUAGAAACUGUUUACCUGAGACUGUCCCUUGGCCCGUAGGUCCUGACACAAGGUUAGAAUUCUAGCUCUUCAAGAGUGGUAUCUCACUGAUGGCUCGGGCCCCCCGGAAGGAGGCCUUCUUCGCCUUCCACCUAAGCUGCGCAGGAAAGGCCCAAAGCCAAUCCCAGGGAAUAGUGAAGCUUCAUAGGGUCUUUCUGUCCAGGUGCAGGUAGUCCGCAUCUUCACAGACAUGUCUAUUUCACCGAGCCUCUCUCUGAAAAGUCGGAAAAAGACCCCAUCUAAGCAUGAAGAGAAAGCAAAAUCAAUCUCUUCGCAGAAUGCAAUUGUAAUUGUAUACUUCUCAUUUUCUUUUUUGUUUUUUAAUCAUAUUUUUUUUCCUACAAUCGACAAUAGUCUAUUCUGCACCUAUUCCCACUCUAAUCUAUUCUAAAGAAGACCCAGCUGAAUUAAUGGGAGGACUAACGGGGAUUGAAUCACUAUUAAAUUAGAUGGGAGCACUACACACCCGUCUGAAUUUUUAAAAGAACCACAUAAUGUGACAAUUGGUGACCCUUGUCUCCCAUCCCACUAAACCUUAAGGACUUGGUGGUAGCUACCAAUCCAAAGGCUAGUGGUUGUUUUUUAGUCAUCUUUGGUUUUAGUGAUUUUCACACUUCACAGAAGACAAAGACAAGAAUUUCAGACUGUAUAUAAUGAUUACGGCAUUGCACCUAAUGAGGUUGCUGGCAUUUCUCAUUUCUUUCUUCCUAAGAUAAUUAUCGUGCAUACACCUUUGAUAUCUUUAUCAAGUUACAUAUUAAUCCUUGAUUUGAAACAGCUGAUUUUUGCUCAUAUGCUCGAUACUUUUCUGCAUAAUUAUCAGAAGAUUUUAAUUGUGUACAAGGUCGAGCAGGAAGCCAAGCUAUCCAAAUUAACGAAAUAGUUCCAUUUUACUGUCUCGUUGAACAUAGGAAGAUGGAAAACUCUAUACAAUACUUGAAGUUACCCAUAAACCGUAAUCUCACAUUUUCUUCUUUUUCUAUGUUGAAAUUGCAAUCAUUUAUCAGCGGAUAGUUUAGUUCCGACCGCCUUUUUGUAUGUGUACCUUUGGGCAACCGCAAGAAAAACUCCAAAAUUUAGCACGCCGAGCCCAGCUAGGAGCCAGAAGAAGUAAUCGAGAUGGCCAUAAUUCAAGUUGUCCGCUAUCCAUCCUGGUUUUCCACCCCUGGUGCUGGCUUUUGUGACAAUUUGCACUAACAAAGAACUCAAAUAGCUACCAAGUGAUCCGGUGGUGAGCGAUAGAGCAGCGCACAAGCUUCUUAUGGAAUCAGGUGCCUGUUCGUAGAAAAACUCUAUCUGUCCAAUGAAUAUGAAAACUUCUGCACAGCCUAUUAUGAAGUAUUGAGGAACCUGCCAGAAUACUGAAAUUGGUAUCAGCUUCGCAUCAUACAGGUUAUGUCUCCCCACUAUUCCAAGCCUAACAAUCUCUAAAACAGCCGCAGAUACAAUGGCGAGAAUUGAUAUGACCAUUCCAAUGCCCAUUCUCUGCAGCUGUGUCAAGCCAUUUUUCUGACCAGUAAUUUUUCUGGCAAAGGGGGUGAUUAUUUUGUCAUAAAUUGGAACCCAGACAAUGACACUGAGAGUGUCGAAAACACUAAGGGAUGCUUCUGGGAUCUUGAAUCUAGUGUUUCCUAAAUGUGUAUCCAUGACCUCGGCUUGCGACACAAAUAAAUUCCCCAUUUGGCUGUAAACAGCGCUAACGAUAAUGCCAGUGGCCCAAACAGGUAGCAAUCUUAAGAUUGAUUUUAGCUCCUCCACUUGUGUCACAGUGCAAAGUCUCCAUGCGCUUACUUUGGAUUCAUUUGUGAGAUCAGAUUCUGUCUCCACCGCUGCCUUGUCAAAGAAACUGCAAAUGACACAACAGUCUUGAUUUAGAAUACCUAAGGAGAAACAUAAUAGCAAUAAAAGCUGAAGUUUACUGAGCAAUGCAAUCAUUGCUCUUUCACCUCCCUUUGUUGAUAUGUAUAAUCAGAACCCUUUGAACAUUUUAAAUCAACUCUGUCUCUUCUUCAUUUUAGUUUCUUCCGUUUUCUAUUUAACCAUAAAAUUACACAGGAGGUACCAUCUUUAGUUGCAGACUCCAGUGGUUGAGGUUUGAUCAUUUCAUCUUGCUUUCUGAACCAACAGAAAAUACUAUACUGGAAAACUGACACAGCUCAAGGCUUUUUAUCUAAAAGCACACCUGAAGGCUUUUGUGUGUUCAAGCUUGCGACUGCCUACAAUAGCACUUGUCUCAUCUGCAACCUCGUAGAGUUGAGAUUUGUCAGCAGGCAGUGGAACGUUAUAUUUUCUCAGAGAUGCCACCAAGACCUGGCAUAGGCGAGUCAAGGGACUGCCUCCUGGUAUCUGAUAACGGUAGAUUCGUGUACCUGAAAAGAAGGAGACCACAGCUAUCGCCAUAGCUGCAGCAGGUAUACCAAACCCCCAUCCCCACCCGACAUGUAAUUGUAUAUAGACCAGAAAAGAUGAAGCAACAAGUGCCCCAAUGUUGAUACUGAAGUAGAACCAAUUGAAGAAAGAGCUUUUGAAGUUCUUCUCAGUUUCAUCAGCAUCAUCAAACUGGUCUGCUCCAUAGGAUGAGACACACGGCUUGAUCCCUCCAGUUCCUAGUGCUACCAGGUAGAGUGCAAGGAAGCUUACUGUUGUCUGAAUGCCUGUUGGGUCGCAAACAUCUUUAGCAGAGCAGGCGGGUUUUAGGCCCGGGACGGACGCCGACAAUGUUAAAAGUGUCAUGCCCUGUCACACAAUUAAAGUCAUCUUUUGGCAUCUUAUGAUCAAAUCAGAUCUCAAACCAAACAGAUUACUAUGCUACUCAGCUUGGUUUCCACUAAAUAUAAGCAAAUAAAAUAUUUGAAAAAGUUUCACGGCUACAAGCAGCUCGGAAACUAAUGAAACAAUACAUAUAAACCAAGGAAGGCUGCCGGCCUGCGCCUGCCUGCAUCGUCUACAUGUGGCCAAGAUGACAAGUAGCUUUAUCCAUCUUGAUUUGUUAAAAUGGAAAAACAACCAACCAUAAAAUGCAAUACAUACAAUGAAAUAGAUGAUUGAGAAGCUGGCGAUCGUCCAAUAUCUUCCAAGAUAUGAAUCAGCAAGAAAUGCUCCUAAUAAUGGCAUGAUAUAGCAUGUUCCUGACCAAUUUGAGACGUUUCUUGACGCUUCAGCGGUAUGCUGAUUGAGUUGGUUUGUGAAAUAGAUCAUCAGAUUGCUGCUCAUUCCAUAGUACGCCAAUCUUUCACAGCAUUCAUUUCCUAGCAACAAAAAAGAAUAAAAAGUACAAUAUGAUGAUCUUGCCAAGAAUGCCACGGUCCAAAUAAGAGGAAAACUAAGAUGAGACAGUUACCAAGGAUGUAAGGGCAGGCCUUCCAGGUUCCGGUUUUCCUCUUGUCAGCAGGGUUCUUACGAUAAUCAACUGUUCCAUCUUUGGUGUAAUAGUCAUCUGCUUCCAUGAUAUCCCGCAAAGGGUACGCAAUCAAACGGCUGUUUCUCCCUUCUCCUUUGAGCUAUUACUCAAACCUGGUACUCUAUGAUACCCAAGAAAAGUAGUAGGCGGCAUGAAAUCAGAAAGAGGAGUCCAUAAUUUAUAGACAUACACUAGCAGAUUAAUUUAUUACCAUAAUUAAUUCGCCAAGUUUGUGUGUUGAGUUGAGUGUAGGUCUCUAAAUCGGCUUUUAUGGCAUGAGAUUUAAAAGAGGAAUCCACAAUUUAUAGACAUGCAAUAGCAGAUUAAUGCCAUAAUUACUUCACCCAAAUUUGUGGUAUAUGAGGAACGUAAAUUUGUUUGAAUCAUUUGAUGUAAAUAGAUUUAGGUAAGAGUGUAAAAUGAUAAUAUUGUAGUGUAAAAAUUACAAGAAAAAUACCAUUUUAUCCUCAACUAAUCUGAAAUAGAACUUGUGAGUCCCGUGAUUCGUUUCUCUUGUGAUCCGUUCUCUUGUGCUCUUUAAUGGGAUGGCAAAGAUAUGAUUUACUUGCUUUAAGUACUCGGCAAAGCAAUUUGUGGCCGCUUGCACACAAAUAAACACAUUUUUUUCUUCAUAUUUCCAUUCCUCCAAGGUUUUGGUCUGCCUAAGCAGUAGACACCACUAGAUUCGGAGAAUAAUAAGUUGACUUUGGGCUACAUUAGAUUGAUGAAACAAUGGCCAGACGAAUCACAUAGUUUUAAAACACAAACGAAUUCAACAAUGCCAUAUAUACAGUUCCUAGUUACUACCGCCAUGAACAGUCCAAGUCAUCAACCGACUGCAUUUAUAGCUAAUGUGUCUUUUUCCAUACGAACACGAAAUGCUAGGCUUCAAAAGAUUAGAGAAAUUAAUGCUUACCACCAAUGGCCUCUAGCAUGAUCAACAUAAAAAUGGAGGAAAAUGCGUGCCCGAAAGAAAUUCAAACAACAACUUUGAAAAGAAAAGAAAACAUCAAAAUAAUUUCUAUGUGAUGAUGAAGAAGAAUAAUGUCAAAUUGGAAUAAUCCCUAGUAUAUAUGCUGCAGUAAGAUGUGGUAAACUCACGUACGUUAGAGAAAUUGAAAAAAAAAAAAAAAAAAGGAAAAGAAAAGGAGAAAGAUGGGAAGAACUCACGUACAAGAAGUAGGAUGGCCAAAGUAAGUCUGACGGGGAUCAAGCAAAACGUACCUCGAAAAGAUAAAAUGGCAAAUUACGUACAUACUCCCUAUAAUUUUGCAUAAUGCCUGAUGAUCUUUUUAAGAUUUUAAAAUAGUCAUGUAAUCCCCUAUAGUUCCACAUAAUCAGUCGGGGCGAUUAUACCAAAGGCGUUCUAGAAGUGUGUAUGAUGAAAUGAUAAUAUCCAUUUAACUUCUCUAUAGUUUGCAUAAAUAGUCACUUUAUUCCCUUAAAGUUUUUACAUUUUUUAACAUUAUCUCCUUGUAGUUUUAUAGAUGGUUAUGCUGUAGUUUGAUUUAACAUUUAAGUAAGGAGCACUAUUAGUAUUUCAAUUAAUAACAUUACAUAGGUUAUUUUUCGUUAAGUUUUCACUUUAUUUGAAACCAUAAUAAGAUGGUGAAAUAGACAUUUAGAAACAUUAGAGAUGCCAUGUGGCAAUAGAUGAAAUCACGGGGAGUUAUUUAAAAUUUACCCAAGAUCAAAUGACCGAUUGGUCGAACUCACAGGUGAGAGAAAGGAUCUUAGAAAGAAAUGCAGACUUCCUUAACCCUGUGCUCUUUAGAAAAUAUUCAAGCAAUGAAUCCAAUCGCAUUUUAACCAGGAUUUAGUUCAUAGUAAUUCAAUGAGUGGUUGGACACAUUGAAUAAUCUCUCACUUUCUGAAACUGCAGUGAACUGUCAUCAACUGGUAGUCUCCAUAAAUGGUGGGCUUCAAUAAAACUACAUUUAACUGCAAACGUAUCUGUUUUAUUCUAUUUCGAGUGAGCAUAUCUAUAGAACUGUUGAAAAGAACUUCUUAGGCCUAUAAUCAAAUGAAUAAUUCUUCUGAAUUAAUUUUCAUCAUGAUCUCUUGAUAAUCACCAUUCAGCAUAUAGGAGUCUACUUAUGCCUAAUCAGUGCAUGGAAAUGAAGACUCAGUGAUUAGCAACAAAGAAAACCAGAACAUAAAUGGUUGAGACCACUAUUGUCCCAAAUCUUCCUAGAUAGGCAUCUUACGAGAGAGGCUCUUCACUCUUCAGGGGUGCAACGCAGCUGUUGGAUGUGCCAAACUAAUUACAGACGUUAUUAGAAGCAGUGGCGUUGUAUCUGGCCAAGUUUUUUUUUUUUUUUUUGGGUAAAAUAAGGUGGUGAACAUAAAUUAAACAUUGUCAAUUACAAUCAUCCUGGGUGUACACUACUUACCCAUUACAUCUUGCAGCACAAUAUUAGAAAUAGUAGCAGGGCAAGAAUCAAAACUACAAAAGGUGGUAAAAUAGAGGUCUCCAUCUCG
rnacentral:lncRNA from 1 species